rnacentral:lncRNA from 1 species
GCCAUGUGUUAUGGGACAGUUUGGAUCCUUCUCCUUUCUUUACAAGAUCAGUAUCUGAUGAGGGGAAAGAGCAUGGAAGAGUCCAUAGCAAUUGACUAGUAGCUUCGUAUGUCGUUAGUAGCUCUUUAAAUGUUCCGUGUACAUAAAAGUUAUUAACCAUGGCAGUAUAACAACUUCUACGCCUGCUGUCAAAUGUGAGAGCCGCCAUAUCAUCCACGACCUUCCCAAGAUAUCUACAUUUUACUGAAAGUGAAGUUUCAAGUCCAGCAUAAGUAGAAUGUCCAGAAAAACUAAGGGCCUCGAGAAAAUUUGUAGCUAAAACAGUUCCAAGAGCCUUUGAAGCUAUGCUAAGUGACCCUGAGUCAGCUCGACGACGAUUUGCGGAAGUGAAUCCCUUCACGAGAGCAGUGAAGAAAGAGCGCAUUGUCGAAGCCAGCUUGUUAAGAAUCUCUAAGGCAAGAAUGUCGGGACUUUUCUUUUUCAAAUCUUGGGACAAAGAUGCCUCAAGUACACUAGAAGAUGCUUCAGAAUCAACGUUUAAAGCUUCCAAGUGACGAGCAGUCCUUCCACCACGCAUGCGGGAUAUACCAUGCCGAGUACGACGAUGCAAACCUCUUUCUCCAGAACGAACUACAGAAAGAAACUCAUGCUCGCCUCGACUCCACAGAGAAUGUGAACCAGUCCUUGCAAAAACUGGGUUUGUGUAUCUAACUGUCUGCAUAUUUGUGUCGUCGUCACUCUCUCUUUCUACAACAGUAGAUGAAUGUGCCUGUGAAAUCUCAGGUUCUUGAUCAUUAUUCUUCUUUUCCUCUGUCUUGGAGUCAUUACACAGAGAUAUUUGCCAAAUAAUUUCUUUGUAUGUUCUUCCAAUAUCUUUUAAUACAUCAGCAUCAGAAGUGCUUAAUUCAGAGAUCAUAACAGUUGUUCCCUUCAACAAAAAUACAGAGAGAGCCAAGACUCCUUCAAGACUAGAAAGGUAUUUCAACACCUUUGACUGCUUUGCAGAUUCAACUAGAGCAAGCUUAGUUCCCCCAACGGAAUCUAAAAGCUCAUUGGUAGAUUUCAGAUGUUUCCUUAAGAACAAGCAUACAGCACGAGCAAGGGAAACAUAAUGCUGCGGAGAAAAGUUCUUGAAGGCAACAGAGAUGCUAUGCCCAACAGAAACUGAAGGAGGCAUUAAAGGCAAGGUAAAUAACUGGAGAAUAGCAUCAAUCCCUUUUUUCUCAACAAAUAAUCGGCAUGUGUCAGCAUUUUGAAGAAUUGUCUCAAGAAGACGACCAAUAUUGUUAACAAAAUCUGGAAGAAUUGACUCAAUAUUCAUUGUUGACACACCAGGAGAUGACUCAUUGAUCUGCUCAGUGUCAUCUGCCUUUGAUGACUCCUUACUAUCAGACAAUAUCAAUUUCUUGUCCCCACCAUUCACUUCCAUAGAAACAGAGGGAUCCCCAGCAGAACCAAUUUUGGAGAUAAUUUCCAGAAUCUCAACUAACAUAUCCACUCCAAGCCCACGUAAUGAAGAAGCGUGGCGCAUUAAUUCGUCAAGUCCACUAGAUAAUGAAGCAGAUGUGUCCCCUGCAAGAGCGCGCAGAUAUGUUCUGGAAGUAAACACUUUCACAAAGCACCUCAAAGAGUUCCUAUCUUUCACAGCCUGAAGGCCGUUACUGUUUAAGCAUAAGGCAUCCAAACACUGGGGAAUGCAUGUAAUGGCUUCUGCAGAGUUGAGAACAUCAUCCAUUAUAGCAUCCAAAAAGGCAGAUGGAAGACCAGUUGCAUCUAAAAUGGGAAAACAAGUAGGAUCUUUUUGUAUUAAAUCACUCAGGACAGUGGCAGCAAGCGAGAAAACUCCACCACCAAAAUCUUUUGCUCGUCUGAAAAUUAUACAUAAGCACUGAGGAAGCACAUUUUCUUCAGAUCCAUAUAUACGAGCAGUAUUUCCAGGGGCAUAGGUUCCCAGUGAUAUAGCACGCAGUAAAGCUUUCAUUAGCAAUCUCCGGUGAUAGGAAAUUAAUGGUUCAGAAUACAAAGGAUGCAUGCCAUCUGGCCUAAUUGAAGAACCUCCAACCAUAUGCACACUUCUACUAAACUCAAAAUUUUCAUCUGGCUGCUUUCCACCGUUUUCAAUAUGGGAGACUUCAACCUUCAGGCGAGAGAUGGUAUCAUCUAAACCUCCCAAAUCUCUGAACAACACAGCAGCUGGAUUACUGUAAUCCAUAAACGCUUCUAAAAUGCGCACAGCUUUUUCAACCAGAAGCAAGUGCUGUGGAUUUGUAUCUUUAAGUAGAGGUAGAAGAGUAGGAAUGAAUCCUGCUUCACGCAUGGCAGAACAUCCUGACGAUGAUGAAACCAACACAGUUACAAGAGACAAUAGAGCUUCUGCAAAAUGAACUGACCACUUCGAUGUAUCACUAAUAACAGAGUCAAUGGCUUUUUGCAUCAGGCUAGAUAAAAUGCCACGGUGCCCACCAGAUGUAACAGCAGUGAGUACCGAAGGUUGACGGGAACGAUCUUGGCAAAGAGCAGCUAAUGAAUGCAAACAUAAAAUCCGGAUUUUUUCCUGAACUGCAUCUUCGUAGCUCAGUAUUGAGACCAAUUCAUUGAUAAACUCGGGCUCAGCAUUGAAGAAUGAAACCAGGUCAUCAGCAUCACCACAUGCUUGAAUAAGAACUAUGAAAGCAUACAAGCGAAUGCAUGUGUAUUUCUGUCUGGAAGCCAAAGAACCAAAAGCCCUAGCGAACCGCAAUCGUGCCGACAAAGAAAAUCUUAAAUUGGAAGGUACUUUAUAUUCUGUAAUCAACUUGUGCAAAAGUCCAAGAUCAGUUUCCACACAUUUGUUGACGUCACUUAAGUGAAUGAUUUGCAACCCUUGGACUAAGGGUUUAGCCCCUUUGAUGUCACUUUCUGACUCAUUUACUGCAUAAAACUCAAAAUGAAGGGCACAACCCAAUUCAUGCGCAAUAGGGUUGCAACCAUUAGGCAUAGCUGAUGCAAUUAGUCCGAGUCCCUCUUCCUUUCCACCCCAUCCUUGUGCAAGAGCAAACAAUUUUGAAUUCAAAGAAACGUCUCUUAUGAAGUACUUUCCAACUGUUUUCUUCAAAAAAGUAGCCAGAGUGUCCAGGGUAGCCUCAACCACAUCCGGAUCAGUAGAGGCAAGCAGUGAAGAAAGAUGUUGCUGCAAAUUCAAAGGAACCAUUUUAAGUAUAAAUAAGCAAGAUAUACAAAUAUUCCAAGUCACUAUUCGGAUCACUAAAGGAUAAAUAAGAAAGAUAUACAAACCUAAGAGUAACACAGUUUAAACUUCAAAAAUUAUUGAAACACAAAUAUUCCAAAUCACCAACAAAGAGAAAAAAGGAAAAUUGGACAAAUACACCCGCAUAAAUAAAGGCAUCAAAUCAUUCUUAGCUCGCAUCUUAUUAAGUUGACCAAGGUGGAAAAAAAAUGAUAGUAGGGAAUCAGACAUACCUCAUAUGAACUGUAGAAAUGCUUAUUUGAGCAAUUAUCCAAAACUAUUCUAAUGACACGGAGAAUUUGGAGAACGGCUUCUGUUGGGAAAGGAGGAUCUGAGUCCAGAAAAUUGUCAUCAAUUUGUAAAUCCUUCCUUGGUUUAACAUACUUCUCAAAGAAGGAACCAAAAUGGUUAAAAAGAUCAACCCAGUGAUGAAAGUCUCCCUGCUCAGAGAAAAGAAACAGCAACAAAUCAAACAUGUCCAAAAAAAAAAACCGAAUUACCAAUGUAAAAAGAAAAGGGCCAAAGAGCAACCUUAUCAAACUCCCAUGUGAAGGGUUUUAAAGGUUCUUGUAUCUCCUCAAGUGGAACUGCAGUAACACUGUUGACGAAAAAUCUAAUUUUUGGAGGCUGCAACAAAUCAAACAAAAAUUGAUCCAUCAUCUAAUAGGAAUCUGCUAAAAUAUCUUCUAUCAUGUUGACGCUAACAUAACCAGCUAACAAUACAUAACUGGUGAAGUAAAAGUGCAGCAAACAGUUAACAUAACCCAAAAUGCUUUUUUGAAGUUCUCAUCCGCUAUCCAAGUUAGCAAAAUUAUAAGUUCGGUAUGAGUGAAUACAUAUUUUUACACACUUGUCUCCAGCUAAAAAUGAUAAUUUUAAAUUUUGUUAACAUUUGUAUGAGUUAUUACUGGAACUUGAACUUGGAGUUGUAACUUAUAAAUAUAUAGAGAGAUUAUAGACUCACAGUAUUAACAUUUGUAAAUAUGAUACAUGAGGAAUUAUGAAACUGGGAAUUCAUGCAGAUGGAAAACUAAAAAAAGAAGAAUACUCGUUUUGCAGCAUACAAUCACAUUUAACCACGAUAGUUUGACAUAUAAAAAUACAAACAUAAACCCCAAUAACAAAAAAAAAAACUCACUUGAAUUAAAAAAAAGGGGGGGAAAUUAUAAAUUUGAUCAAGGAAAAGAAAUAUCGAAGGAAAGUUAAAGAAUCGGUAUUAAAAAAUACUAACCACUUCGAGUGCCCGUUUCCUUUUCAACUUCAUUUAGGAAUUGAGAGCAUCGCAAAAAUCAGAGGAAAUGAUUGAAAGAGAGAGAGAGAGUGUGGAUCAAUUUCACAAACCUAAAAUUGAAAAUUGAUCCUUGAAUCACAAGUAUUGAAGGGAAUUGAAAGAUUGAUUGAAGUGAGAGUAGAUUGAGAAAGAAAAUCCCUAGUGGAUGAAUGAAGUUAGAAGAUUAAAAAUGAGUUUCGGUUUGGGAUUUUAGGAUUUGGAUUUUGGUGAAUUGAUUUGUUGUGUUUAUUUUGAGAAGAAAACAAUCCCAGUUCUAGCAAACACUUCCGUCUGAGACCAAGCUUUUUACUACGACACAAUAAAUGGACAAUGCUUUUUUUUUUGAACACCCAAAAAAUAAAAAUAACUCUUCAAAUUUAUUAAUAAAUUAAACUACCAUUUUGGUCCUUUAAUGUGGAGCAUGCAAUUUGAUCUCUGCCUUAAUUAAAACUACCAUUUUGGUUUGGUGUGUGACUUGUUUUAAUUUAUUUGAUUAUGCGAACAGUAAUCUGAUAUAUAAUAUUUUUUUUAUUAUCAUAUCAUAUCACGUCAAUAAUUAAAAAAGAAGAUAUCAAAUUGAUCGUAAUACAUAAAAAUUUACAAAACACAUUUUUUCAUUUUUGACACUUACCAUGUUCUUCAUCUUCAUCUCUACCUCUAAAUCUAUCAUUUUUCUUCUUCUAAUUUCUUCUUCCCUAAUUUAUUUUAUUGUUAGUGAAUUUUAACAUUCCACUCAAUAAUGACAAACUUGUUACGGAGAAAAAUGCAAACACGUCACAAAGUCAAAAGCAUCAAGUCAUAGUUAUGCAAAAUCUUUGCUAAACUAUUCAUGACUCUUCUUUGGAUUUGUUUUUUUAUUUUUUAAUUGUAAUUUUUAUUAUUUGUAUGACAAAAAUAUCAGUUGUACAUUUGUUGUAGUAACUAGCAAUUGGUCACGAGAAUGAAGUAGCUGACGGGUAUGAAAACAUCAGCAAUGGCAAAUAUGGAUAAUGCAUAGUUUGAAUAAGUUUUGAUAGAGCAAAUAUGGAUAAUGCAAUGAAAAUGAAGAAUACAAUAAGUAGUAACAAAGAAAUGUUUUGGAUAUUGCACUUUUAAAAAGAAAAAAAAAAAUAGGUGAUAUAGUCGCUUUGGUCAUGAUUUACUCAACUAUAUACGUGGUAAUGAACUAAAUUAACGCAAGUAACAAUCAACUUAACUUUAGCGAUAAAAUUUACCUACAUUUUGAUGAGUUAAAAACUAAUUUAGAUCAAAUAUUAAAGUAAACAAUACCUAAUAUAUUUAAAAACAAAAUAGUAGUUUAUCUGUAUAAAUAUAUUCAUUUUUAAUAUAAAAAGUGUAGAUAUAUAUUACUUUAAAAUUAAUUAAUAUAUAUAUAUAUAUAUAUAUGUGUGUGAAAGUGUAAUUGAAAAAUUAUUUACAGAUAUAUCAUAAAUUACACAACAAAUAUUAAAAAACAAGAUAAAAUACAAAUAAAAAAUCUUCUACAAUUUUUAGAAGAUAUGCAUAAAUAAAUAAAUAUAAAUGGAUACUUGUAUUGAAUCAUUUUACAAUAUCAAUAAAUAGAAAUUAAUAAAUUUGAAGACUCUUAUUAAUAUAAUUUUUGCUAAGUAUAGAUGAUCCUUUUUUCAAUGAUAAGUUACUUUUUAUAUGAAAAAAGUUACGUAUGUAUUUAAUUAUAUCUACUACAUAAAUAUUUGUGGAGUUAUUUUAUGUGUCAUAAUAAUGGAGUAUAAUCAAGUAUAUACUAUUAUUAAUAUAAUUUAUUAAGUCAAAAAAUAAUUAAUAUAAUCUAUGUGAAGCAUAGAUGGAAUUUUUUUUUCAAUGAAAAAUUAAUUUUACUAAAUUUAAUUUGUAAAUAUUGUAAGUAGAAAAAAUAACAUAUUUAUUUAAUUGUAUUCUACUACAUAAAUAUUUGUGGAGUUAUUUUAAAAAUUAAUAUAAUAAAGUGUCGUAAAAUUAUGCACGUAUUAAAGUGUCAUUAAAAUUAUGCACGUAUUAAAGUGUCAUUAAAAUUAUGCACGUAUUAAAGUGUCAUAUUUGUCUAAAGAUUUUUUUACAUUGAAAUGUAGAUCGAUAUAUAUCCAAUUUUAAUACAAUUAACAUAUCAUGCAAUGGUGCAUAAAAUAACAAGUUUGUUACAAUACUUACAAUAAAAUAAAACAAAUUUGUUAUAAAAUUAUUCGUAAAAUCUAACUAAACUAUCAAAUAAUAAUAUCGUUAGAAUGCCAGUUCUGUGUGAAUUUUUUUAUUAUUUCAUUUAUAUAAAUAAAUUAUUAAAAUUAUUUCCAAACAAUCAAAUAUGUUGUAAACUGUAAAUAAAAGUAUAGGUUUUUUAUUAAAUUUUUCAUCGAAAAAAAAUUGUUUUUGAGUAAAUUAUAAUGUUAUAAUAAUCUAUACAUUAUAAUAAAGCAAACAUGAUAAAUUGGCAAGUUUGACACGUGUCAACUUAAGAAAAUAUAAGUUUCUAUUAAUAGAAAUAAUAUGUGUUUAUUUUUGAGAAGUUAAUGGCCAAUUAAAAAAAUAAAAGGAAUGAAUUAAAAAUAAAAAGUUUUUUUGUAAGAAAAACAUAAAACUUCUGUUGUUACAUCACGAUCUUUGUCCACGAUACAAUUUAAUGGUCAAUUAAAAAAUUAAAAAUAAAAUACAAUACACCACGACUUACAAUUUUUCAUGUAUCCGUUGAGAAGUUAAUGGCCAAUUAAAAAAUAAGAAAAAUAAAUUAAAAAUAAAAUAUUUUUUUAAGACAAAAAUAAAACUUCUAUUACAUGAGAAAUGCAGAAGUGAAUGACCAAUUAAAAAUAAAAUAUAAUGCAUUUCACAUUUCACGGUUGAGAAUUGAGUGGCCAAUUGAAAGGUAAUCUAUACAAUAUAAUAUCUCUUUUUUAGAAUAAAAUUAAACUUAUGUUACACGACUUUGUACAUGCGUCAGUUGAAAAGUUAGUGGCCAAUUAAAAAAAUAAAAGAAUAAAAAUAAAUAGAAUGGAUUAAAAAUACACUACAUCACUACUUGAGGUUUAACUGUUAAGAAUUUAGUGGCCAGUUAAAAAAGAAGAAUAACAACAAAAUACAGUCACUAACACCACGACUUGACAAUUUUUGUAAUUGUGUUUUAAACACUACUUUAACAACCACCCGCUUCAAAUUAAUUUAAUUAAAAAAAUUAUUUUAUUUUACGAAUUCUUUUAAUACUCCGUUAACCGUCUAUCUUUGGUGCUCUCUCAUUUCUUGCGUCUCUCUUAUAAAUAUCAUUCAUAUUAUCUAUGUAUACACAAUUCUUUUAAGCUUUCUUUAUCAAAGCUUUCUUAUUCAUCUUUAUCCAAUGUCUGAAACAAAAAUCAUAUUUUGUUGCUUCAAUUUCUCCAAGAAAUGAGUCAUGGAAUUUGGUUGUUAGAGGUGUGCGAAUGUGGUUUUUGUCUUGAUCUCCUCAAUAUCAAACAAAACUUUUAUGCAAUAGAGAUUAAUAUUCCUGGUGAAACUAUGUAUUUGUUCGUGUUGCGCCUAACAAUAUGUUCACACGAAUUAAUUACUUGAAUUCGCUUAUGCCCUCCCCCUCUAUGCUUUGCGGUAAUGAUUCCUCUGGCAUUACGGCCUGUAUUACAAUGAUUCUGUCCAUAAAUCUAACGNNNNNNNNNNNNNNNNNNNNNNNNNNNNNNNNNNNNNNNNNNNNNNNNNNNNNNNNNNNNNNNNNNNNNNNNNNNNNNNNNNNNNNNNNNNNNNNNNNNNNNNNNNNNNNNNNNNNNNNNNNNNNNNNNNNNNNNNNNNNNNNNNNNNNNNNNNNNNNNNNNNNNNNNNNNNNNNNNNNNNNNNNNNNNNNNNNNNNNNNNNNNNNNNNNNNNNNNNNNNNNNNNNNNNNNNNNNNNNNNNNNNNNNNNNNNNNNNNNNNNNNNNNNNNNNNNNNNNNNNNNNNNNNNNNNNNNNNNNNNNNNNNNNNNNNNNNNNNNNNNNNNNNNNNNNNNNNNNNNNNNNNNNNNNNNNNNNNNNNNNNNNNNNNNNNNNNNNNNNNNNNNNNNNNNNNNNNNNNNNNNNNNNNNNNNNNNNNNNNNNNNNNNNNNNNNNNNNNNNNNNNNNNNNNNNNNNNNNNNNNNNNNNNNNNNNNNNUCUUAUACAAGAUUUGUCUUAAUAACUCCGAUUUUAAAUUCUCAUAAAUAAUUGUUGCCCGUCCUAAUAAUUUUGAUUAUAAGUUGUCUAAUAAAUAAUUUAUUUAAGUAAAUAUAAAAUUUAUUUAGAGCCAUGAAUUCAAUUAAAUUUUCAGAAUAUUGAAGAGAAAAAUAAUAAUUUAUUUAAGAAAAUAUAAAAUUUAUGUAGGAAUUAAAGAAACAAUUCAUUUCAUCUUUCAAACACUAUUUUAUCAAAUUUAAAAACUACUAUACUAUACAUUUUAUAUUCUAAAUUUAUUAUUAAAUAUCACGAAAGUUCAAAAGAAUUCAAAAGAUUCAUGAAAGAAGACUAACAUGCAAAUUCAAAGAUAAAAGAUACUCAUAGUUUGUAUGUGUAUUGUAAUUUUUUGUUUGUAACGGGAAAAUUAUUUUUCUUUAGUAUUUUGUGAGUUUUGCCCACUUGAUACAGCAAAGGCUGAAUAAUAAAAAUAAAAAUUCAUUAUUAAGUUACUUACUCAUCUUUACAUUUACUUAUUUUAUAUAUGUCCAUGUCCAUUGUUUUAAAAAUUCUUAUUUCAUCUAAUCUAAUUAUUUAAUAUUUUUUUAAUAAUUAUUGUUCUUAUUNNNNNNNNNNNNNNNNNNNNNNNNNNNNNNNNNNNNNNNNNNNNNNNNNNNUUUAAGUCAACUUAUUUUUUUAAUAUCAAUAAAAUAAAAUUUAUAAAAUUUGAUAUAUAUAUAUAUAUAUAUAUAUAUAUAUAUAUAAAACUAAUAUAAUAAUUUAUUUAUUAAAAUCGUUGUUUCUGUGCGACGCACGGGUUACGACCUAGUAAAUGUUUAAUGUUGACAUAGAAUAUUUAAUUAUAUUAGAUCUUCACAUUAAGUUAUUUGAUUUAGUGAAGGUACUAUUGUUAUUAUUGUAAUACAAAUAUCUCAUAACAAUUAUUGAGAAAUUUAUCAAUAUUCAUAUUAAUGGUGUAUAAAGAACACGUUGAGUUGGGUUUGACGUGUUGCUUAUCCGAUUUUAAUACUUGAUUGUAUCAAAUUUUAAAUCCUAACUUAUCCCUUAACCCGAUCAAAUUGGAUGAGUUAUAGCUUAAUUAAACACGAGAGAUAAUAAAAAUGAGAAUUAUAUGACAUGCGAAAUAGUAAUUUUUAAAUUUUUUUUUAUAAAAAACAAUUAAACAUAAAAAUAUCUGUAAUAAGUCGUAUAUGAUUAUCACUUGUUAAUUAAUUUAAGAGCAGUAAUUCAUAAUAUUGUUUUAGAAACUAUAAAUUACUAAGUUAGUGAUUAAUUUUUGUAGAAAGGGUGAAUCAAUAAUAAUUUAAAAAAAAAAAAAGAUAGUCAUGAUUCAUUUGUCCUUAAAUUAAUUUAAGAGACGAUGGGUAAUUCGAAGGUCACCUGAAUCAUUUUUCUACCAAGUAUUCUACCAUGCGCCCUACACUUAAACAUGCACUCUCAAUCAACGUAAAAAGUACAAUUUUGCCCUUUUAACUAUCUAUAGAAUAUUUAACUUUUUUAAAUUAUCAUUUUUUCACUUCUUCCUUCGAAACUUUAGAAAAAUUACCUUAACCUUCGAAACUUUCAAAAUCUUCGAAAUCAAAAGAAAGUGACUCUUGAAAACUUCAAAGUUCCAAAACAUAACAUUUUCAAAAUAUUCAAAAGUUUUGAAAUGACAAUUUCCAGAAUUUUUGAAACUUUCGAACAAUUCAAAACUUUCGAAAUAGAAAAAUUUCGAAAUUCUCUUUAUUUGAAAACUUUCGAAGCUUUCUAAAUUUAAAAACUUUCGAAACUUUAUAAAUUUAAAAACUUUUAAAACUUUUCAAAUAUACAAAAUCUGAUCCUUUUAUUUUUACUAUUAUUUUGCAAUUUAAAUCAUUAUAUAUAUAAAAAAGAGUGUUUGAAUGAGUGUUAACACGUGAAUUUUAUAACAAGCAAUGUGUUUGUCUUACAAUGCAAAGGUAUUCUAGUCUACGUGCAAUUUGUGACUUGGUGUGUAAACAAAAUGUGGUGUAGAUAGAAUGAAUUGGGGGGUUGAGUGUGAAAGGGAUUUAAUUUAUAAGAUUUGGAAAGAGAGAAUAAUGGAAUCGUUGAGUAUGCAUGCGCAUUUCUAGAGUUUAUUUAAAUUGAUGCGCAUUUCUAGAGUUUAUUUAAAUUGGGACUAAAUCAAUAAAUUUGAGAUUUAUUCAGAUAUAAUUUUAUAUAAUUUUAAAAUAUAUUAUCUAAUAUUCAAAUUAAAUUAUUUUUUGUUUUGUCAAUAUUAAGUCAAGUCAAUAUUGAUAUCUUAAUAUAUAUAUAUAUUUUGUUGUUAUUGUGUUUAAGAAAAUUGUAUUAAUAGUGUAAAAAUUUAAAUUUAAUUUGUAUGUAUCAACGAUAUAAAGAUGUUUUACAUUGUCGAUUAAUCAUAAUCAUUAGAUUAAUAAAAUAAUUUAAUUUUUAUCAUAAUUAUUUUUAAAGUCACAUUUAUGAAUAUUUGCAAUGUGGUGAUAGUGUAAAACUUUUAACAUCGACAAAAUAUAACAAUUAAACACUAAAAAAUUAAGCGUUUGAAAAAUAUUAAAUUUAAAAAGAAAAUUAAUUAUUAAAAAUGUGGAUCAAAAUUAGACAUACUACAUCUAUCUAAUAGGCGUUAAGAGGCAAUAUUUAAGUUCAAGCUUCGCAACCGUGCACGUAUGCGUGUUUGUUUUGUCACAUUUCAAAAUUAAACAAUUAAACACAUAUCGCAAUGUUAAGUCAAUUUAACAGAAGAAAACUUGACAAUAAUUAAAUUGAUUAUAGGAUGCGACGAACAUUCUUGUGUCCUGUCACGAAUUACUUGUGGUUUUCAUGUUACACAUGUGUCAUUCAACCACAUCAUGUGCCACAUUAUUAAUUCCUUACUUCAUGAGUGACUCAUUCUAUAUAUGAUUAUUCUCUCUUAUCAACUUUUAUUUAUAUUUAAGAUUGAGGAGUAUCAUUUACUACAUUGUGUUAUGUUUAUAUACAUACAUAUGCAUGUUUUUUAUAUAGAAACACAUGUAUGCAUACUAAUUAUGCAUUUAGUGCAUGUCUAUUCGAAUAUGUGUUGAGGAGUAAUACAUUAACUAGAAUAAGAUGAUGAAGUUCACCAGCUGCACCAAUACUUCAAAAAUGUGUGUGGACGCUAAUUUUUAGAUUUGAUUCCAUCUUUAAUACGUUCAUUUAUAUGCAUCCAACAAUGCUAAUAUAAAGACUUGAUUUUUGGCGAUUUUUGGUUUUUAUUUUCGUCGAAUAAUUUUCGGUUAUAAAAUCCAAAAUGCAGAACACAAGAUUAACACUUACAACUUCACCGUUCCACAAAAAGCACAGCCAUUCAACUAAGCGAACCAGUGUCAGCUGUCAAUUUUAGCAGCCUUCCAAACAUAUUAUCAAAAUCUCUCGCAAUGUGUCAUCCAAAAAGUGAUUUUACAAAGUAUGUAUACAUGGUUAGUGACCAAUACUUAGUUUGCCUCAAAAAACAGUUCAUGCUUUAGUUGGAGACACAAUAUUCAUCACCCGUAGCCAAGCACAAACCAUGACUUCAUACAUCAUUUUAAUUUAUUUUAAAACAAGAUUACUUCUCACCAGCACAAAAAACAUAAACAUACAACUAAUUAAAAUUUAUUAUUAUGAAGACUCAAAUUGAUUUGAAAUAUAAAAUAUAUGCACAUACGAAGAUCUAGAGUAGUAGAGUCGGUGAUAGGAAAAAGGAAGAUGAAUUAGUGAUAGGUGGAACAUGAAUCAACUAACAAAAGUUGUAUAAAGAAGCUAGUGUCUUCCAAAGAUAUUGAGUAAGAAGAAAAGGAAGAUAUGUCAUACAAUUUAAAGUCCAGAUCCUGUUAAGUACAAUUCUCAAAACUAACUGAAAAUGGUUCUUAUAACUUGUAAGGUUUAGUACCAUACAAAAUUUCUCAAGGAGCAACAGUGCCUCUACAAAUAGUGUUACCCUCUAUUUCGUCUUUUUACCCCAAAAUAGCACCCUCACUUGUUUUCUAUAAAUCCUCACCUCAAAAAUUAGCAUUCAUGAACUUAUUAGUUGUCAGCAUCUCAUAGUCAUCACUCAUCACUUAUCACAUAUUCAGUCACCUAAUUGAUAAAUCAAAUUGUCAAAAUUUUGUACUCUACUGAUUUGGUACAAAAUUUACUCCGUAAUGCUUCUUCCAGUUUUUGAAAAAUCACUGAGAAUGCUCCUGCAAAGGGAAUAGCCGACAACAAAAUAAUUUAUUCACUCAUUCUAGAGGAGGCAUUGCCUCUUGAACUUAACCAUUACAACUAUCAACUAAUCAAUCACAGGGAACAGUUUACAAGGGUGAAAACAUAAUGAGAAGUCAAUAUGCAUGAGCAGAAAACAGAAAAUUCCAUUAAAGUGGUUAGCAAACAAUCAGCAGACCAACAAUUUUUUAAUGCAGCCGAAGCCCAUAUUCGAAAGAUUAAUUAUUUUAGGGUCGAACUUCUUUAGGAAAUUUCCCAUAAUUUUUUUUAAAAUUACUACUGGUUUUACUUUUUAAGAGACAUUUAAAUUAUAAUUUGGUCAACAAAGAUUAAUCUAUUUUAUGGACCAAAUCAGGCCGACCCUUAACCCCAUGCAACUAGAUCACUCAACUCGAUCAAUUCAAAGGGUCGUAAUUGUUUGUAUAAUAUAAUUGAACUUUUAAAAAUUUCAUUGAUAUCCUUAAUCUUUUCCACUCUAACCACUCUAAGAUUAUCUUGUAUUUGCAUUUUAUAUCUAGCAUAUUCAAAUUAUAAAAUUACUCUUGUAAUCUCACUAAACAUUUCUCUCCAUAUAGUAACCCUACUUCUCUUCAAAAUUAAAAUUACGAUCUGACAUAUGAUUUUGAAAAAACUUUUACAUAUGAAUGUAUGGAAGUAGAUAAAUUUUAUAAGAAAAAAUUAUUUAUGUUAAAGAACUUUGAAAAAAAAAUAAUUAUUAAUUGUGAUAAGGUUGUGAAAACCAAAUUAUAUAAGUCUAUAGGACAAUUGUGGUUGAUUUGAUUUGAUAUAUGCUAAUCGGUUGUGAUGAUUUCGACUAGACCCGACAUCACAUAUGUUAAUAGAUAUGUUAAUUAAUAUAAAUAUCGUGGUUUAUAUUAUUGUAAUUUUGGAUUCUAUACAAUAUUAUAUUUUUUAUUUAUCCAUUAAAAUUUUAAAAAUUUGAUCGCCCAAUGUUUCAGCUCAAACUCCCCCACUGCUUAAGAUCUGUUUGGUUCAACGGAAGGGAGGGAAGGGAAAUAGAGAUAUGUUUGAUUUAAAAUAGGGGAGGGAAUGUAUUUUAAAUGGUUUAUAAGUUACAUUGAUCCCCUUCCAAAACUGAUCGUCUCUCCUUUUAAAAAUUGAAUCAAACACAAAUUUUUUAAAAUAUUCCCUCCCCUCCCCUCACAAAAAUUGAAUCAAAUACACAUUUUUUUAAAUAUUCCUUCUCCAACAAAACAGAACCAUAGCCAAGAAGGAGAUAUCUGCAAACACAAGUGAAAAAAUACAUUCCUCCAAAGCUAAUGCUAGAGUCAGCUGUAGACUAAAAUGCUACUAAAAUAAUGAAAAAGACAAUUGGAAAAGCAGUUUGGAGAAAAAACCUGAUAAUAGGCAAUUCCUAUCUUGUAAUGAACCUUUUACCAACAGUGUCCCAGGGAUUUGCUGAAAAACCUGUAAGAUGGAAAGAAAAACACUAAGAUCAACAAGAAUCUGAGAUCAAAGUUAUUUCUCAAGCAUGCAAAGAGUGCAAGCAUACCGAUAUAUGAAGGCAUGAGCUAUCACGAGAGAGAAUAACACUUGAUCCAUUAGAUGUCUUCUCUGUAGGUUGAUGAUCAAUGGAUUGAUUGAUAAUGGGUAGUUCGUUCUUCAAGAUUGAAUCACCGUCAUCUUUUGUUGCUACAACCUAUCAAAUUGCAAUAACACUUAAUAGCCAUCACUAGGAAAUUAGAUCAGAAUCUGAGAAACUAGUCUUACAUCCACUGUGAAAGAGGAGGUGUUCAAUGUGCAAGACAGGCAAUGCAAGGAAAAGUAAGACUUGACAUCUUCCAACACAUUAAAGGCACCAUUUUGGCGUUGAAGACCCUGUAAAGUAAAUUUGCAUAAUGACAUAAAUGACAGAGUUUUAAGAAUAGUGUGUUGCUAGCAUUGCCCAAUUAUAAAUUGAAGGGUCUUAGUAUUCACGAUUCAUGAUAUUCAUAGAUUAUGUUGUCAACAAUACGUCAAUAUCUUAGUGUGAUAUAUAAUGUGCUACUAAGAACCAGGAUGGCUACAAGAAUAAUACAUCAAUUUUCACUGAUGUGAGAUAACAGCCAAUUAUUUAAGAAAAAAAAUGAAUUGUGUGUCAGUUCAAAACAACAGUUGCUAGAUACUGAAAAACAGAUAACAGUAUACCUCUAACAUGAAGGACAUGGUAUUCUUAUUCGGCAAAGAAAUCGAUGACUUAUGUACAAGAGGCAAGAAAGACCAAGCAAGCCCCCAUCGGGAUGUCCUGCCCUGGACAAAUUCAGUUGUCUUCACUACAGUGACUCCAACUUCCCAUAGUUUUGAUAUAAGGUUCUUGAGAUUUGAUUUUCGACCUAUCAUUGAAGUGAACCAACCACCUACGAACAAGUUGAAAUAGACGAGCCAAAACUUAUAACAAGUAAAUAUCAACACUUAAACAUAAGAAACAUGAAGACCAUCCUUUAUAUAAAAAAGAGAUACCUAAGCUGAUGCUUCAGUUCAGUACUAUCUUCAAUAAUACGAGUAACAAAGGCCUUUUCACCGCCAGAGCAAACCAUUUCUUCAGAAGUGCCACCACAAGAAGUUUUGGGAUUAAGUCCAGCUUCAUCCAAGCUUUCAAAAAAUGGUGGAUUACACAUGCAAAAAUCAAACUUCUCAUCAUCCCUGACUACACCAAGAAGUAUGGGAGGUCCUUGAUAAUUCUUAUUCUCACAUGCAUUCAAAUCAAGAGGUAAUAUCGGCAAAGGCUCUACCUCCGUGUCAGUUCUCCUGCACAAAUCUAUCUUGCCACCAACGACUGACUCUUCAUCAUGCAACCCUUCCACACGGGGAGUAGUUGCAUUGCUUUGAACCCUCCUAAUUUCAAUCAACUCAAAAAUAUGGGGAUUACUAUUAACAUUUUUCUCCGCCCACUCAAUAGCAACAUCAGUUACAUCUGCAUCCGAUUAAGCAAAUUUAAAAAAAAACUAUUUAUUUUAUUUUUACAGCAACGACAAGAUAAAACUAAAAUCCAACUAGAGUAACAAAAACAACAUACAUUACAUACCUGAUCCUACAAAACUCCAUCCCAAAAGGGACGCACCAAGAAGUGGGUAAAUGCAAUUGGCUCCAGUUCCUAUAUCAAAUCCUCUGACCUUACCUCCAGUUGGAAUGGUAUUUGGAAUGAUGUUAGAUGAGAGAAGAUCUUGAAGCCAAUGAAUGUAAUUAGAUCUGUUAGGUACAGUGGGACAGAGCUGCCCAUCAGGAAUACACCUAGUAAAAUUUAUUCAUUAGUAAAAAAGAUGAAGAUUCGCUGUCUCACAAAGCUUGUUAGUUAACUCAAGAAUCACACAACUCUUAGUAGAGAAGACAAACAAGAAAAUACCAGUUGAGAGCAUGGUCAUGGUGGAGCAAUACAUGGGUGACUUCACGAGUGGCGUUGAAAUCGGUCCAAUCGAUUAUAGGGUGCCCAUUACGCGAGUAUUGCACAAAAGGUUCGAAGGAUGAGUAGAGAGAAGCCAAAUGGGCAAAGUCAGGGGGUUCUCUGAAUACUUGUUGUUGGGAUGAAUGGUGGGUUGCUCAACCUCUCUCUUCCUCUUGUUUUUGCCCCCCAUUUCUCAAAAUGAGACUUCUCUUCCACAAUUACAGUGAACCUACCAAAUUGUUAAGGAGAAAGGCAGCGCCGCUUGCUUAGUUUACCUAUGACUUUGGAAUGCCAGAGCAAUAUAUAUAUAAUUAAUAAAAGCGCAAACAAUUAUUAAGACAAACUGAAGUACAUAAGAUUCACAACACAAACAAAGGUUGUAAGUGAAUACUGAAUACAAAUUAAUCAUGUUUAUUACAUUCAAUAUCAAACAAAAGUUUUAAAAUAAUUCCUUGAUAUUUUUUUAUUAUGACAUCCUCUUACUCUAAGCUCUAAUAUUUAAUUUUUUAUUUUAUUUUAAAAGGUCUAAUAUUUAAUUCUAGGGUGAACUAAUGAACAAGUUCUGUAUCAGGUUUUGCACAGAUUUUCAAAAAAAACUGACAAUAUAUUGCAGUAUAUAUAUUCAAUAUAAAUAACUAUGUGAGAUUAGUAGAGUUGAUUGGAACUGUAACACACAUUUAAAUGAAUCAAAAUGAUUAAAUUCAUAAAUCAACACCAUCAAAACAUAAACCUGUGAGAUUCAAAGACAGUUCGAGGAAGAAUAAAAUUGAAGGUUACCUAAUAAUACUAGAGAGUGUAGCAACAACGGUGGCGGCAAGAUGGUGAAAAUUGGUUGGGUGAGCGAAGCGAUUGCGAUAACAAAGCGGCAAUGGCCUUCUACAACUCUACUCAACUUCUACAAUGUGUUCAAUAGUUUUUUUUUUAAUAGUUGUAAAUUAAUAUUGUAUCAAAAUAAUUAUGUAAUGGCUAAAUUAUACUUUUAUCUUUUAUGUUAGGCUCAGUUUUUGGAUAAAUCAUUUAUGUUUUUUUUUUUUCAUCUAAGUCAUUUAUGUUAAUUUUCGUAGACACACAAGUCCUUUAAAUUAAGCUCAACUAGAUCCUUUAGUCAUUUUUUUUGUAGAUUCCGUUAAAAAAUGUGUAAACAUGACAGAUUAUAGAUGAUCUGGUGUGUGACUAAGAUGAUUCUUGAUGGCUUAGCUUCAUCCCUUCCUAUCUCCCUUAUAUUUAUUCCUUUAAUCUAAAUUUCCAAAUCUUAAAAUCUAAAAACCAUAAAAACGAAAAACCACUCAAUUCUCAAAUCAUUGUAGCAAUGUCUUCAUUUAGUAGUUAUCAUUCCCAUUCUCGAACCCAAAACAGUGCGUCUUUCAUAUAAAAUGUGAGGAAUGGUGGAAUCGUUCCUGAUUGUCGUCGUGGGCUCAAAGCCAUUGUGAAAACUGUUGAAAAAUUAAGGCCCAAUAGAGGAAGAACUGAUAUUGGUAUUCUAUGUGUAGAGUCAAGACAUUGAUUGUGGUUGUUCAUUCUUUAAUUGGUGUUCAUAAGUUGUUCCCCAGGCUCAUGGUUAGGCUCAGACGCAAGCUCAGAUUUAGGGUCAUGGUGUACCACAUUAUGGAGAAUGUUCACAAAAGGAAAUGGAAAUAUUGACACUCAAAACGACUGUAAUCAAGAUGAGUGAGAGGGAAAAAUUCUCAAAAAAUGUCAUGAAAGUUGUACUUGUAAUUUGUAUGUUGUUGGCAAUAAUUUGUAUCAUGCUGAUAUCCAAGUCUUGAACAUCUAAGUGCGGCUGUUGAAUUUUAUGAAUUGGGUAUGUAGGAUGAAGUCUAUUUGUGUAAUUUAACUGUUUUGAUUGUAUUGAAUUUAUGUAUAAGUCUCAUCUUCAUUAAUCAAGUGAUGUUUAAGUUAUGUAAUUUAAGCGUUGUUCAUGUAGUCAAGUGACAUUUCUAUAAUUUUAUUGUGGUUUUCAUCUUAAUGUUCAACUUGUGUUGAAUGAUUAUCCAUAUUAUAAUUUCCAUAAUGUUUAACUGGUUUUCAUUUUUGAAUGAGUUGACUAAGUAAAUUAUGUUGGGAUUUUGUCCCUCUACCAAAUGGAAAGAAACCUGUAGGAUGCAAGUGAAUAUACAAUAUAAAGUACAAGGCUAAAGGGUCUACUGAGAGGUACAAGGCAAGGUUGGUAGCUAAGGAUUUACUCAAACGUAUGGAGUGCAUUACUUGGAAACAUUUGCUCCGGUUGCAAAAACGAAUACCAUCCGAGUGAUAUUAUCUAUAGCAGCUAAUUACAGUUGGAACUUGCACCAAUUUGAUUAAAAAAUGCCUUCCUCCAUGGAGAUCUAGAAGAAGAUAUUUAUAUGGACUUACCCCCUGGAUAUAGUGAGCAUAUUGCUGCCAACACUGUUUGUAAGGUAAAGAAGGCUCUAUAUGGGUUUAAACAAUCACCACGAGCGUGGUUUGAGAGGUUUGCUAAAGUCAUGGUGGGUUUAGGCUUCAAAAAAAGCCAAGGAGGUCAUACCCUCCUUACCAAACACUCUGAGUCAGGGGGAGUAACAGUGUUAUUGGUAUACGCGGACGACAUUAUAGUGACUGGUGAUGAUGAAAAGGAGCAACAAUUGUUAGGACAACACCUAGCCAGAGAAUUUGAGAUUAAAACCUUGAGAAAAUUGAAGUAUUUCUUGGGAAUUGAAGUGGCUCAAUCUAAGAAAGGGAUUUUCAUAUCCCAACAAAAAUACGUCACAGAUCUUUUGCAGGAAACUGGCAAGACAACAUGCAAGCCAGCGAAUACACCAAUCGAUCCAAAUUUAAAGUUGGGAAAUGCAGAAUAAGACAUUGCAAUUGACAAGGAAACGUACUAAAAAUUAGUUGGAAGACUCGUAUUUGUCAUAUAUUAGACCUAAUAUUGUCUUUGUUGUAAGCCUAUUCAGUCAAUUCAUGCACCAACCAAAUGAGGUACACUUGCAAGCUGCACUUAAAAUCGUGCAAUAUUUGAAAGGAACUCCAGGAAGAGGAAUUUUGUUCAGACAAAAUGGAAAUGUGGGUCUUGAAGCAUAUACUGAUUCUGACUAUGCAGGGUCAAUUAUAGAUACAAGGUCAACCACAGGAUAUUGCACUUUUCUAUGUGGGAAUCUUGUGACCUGGAAGAGUAAAAAACAAGUGUGGUAUCCAAAUCCAGUGCUGAAGCAUUAUUUAGGGCAAUGGCACAAGGAAUAUGAGAGUUAUUGUGGUUGAAGAUCAUUUUGGAGGACCUGAAGAUAAAGUGGGAUGAACCAAUGAAACUCUAUUGUGAUAACAAAUAUGCUCUUAACAUAGCACAUAAUUCAGUGCAACAUGAUAGAACCAACUAUAUUGAAGUCGAUAGACAUUUCAUGAAAGAAAAUCGACAGUGGCCUAAUUUGCACUACAUAUGUCUCCUCCCAAGGCAACCUUGCAACUAAAGGGCUAAACAACGACAACUUUGAAAGAAUUGUAUCCAAGCUAGGAAUGGAGAACAUCUAUUCACCAGCUUGAGGGGAAGUGUCAAAAUCUGUUUUUGUUUUAAAUCCCUCAAGUAUAGGAAUUCAGUUGUAUAGGAGUACUAAUAGGGAUUUAGUUAUAUAUGAGUACUAAUAGGGACUUAGUUAUAUAUGAGUACUAAUAGGGAUUUAGUUAUAUAUGAGUACUAAUAGGAUUUUGUUGUUUAGUAAUCUAGUAUAUAUAUCUGAUGUAUUGCCAACAUAUUUCAAUUCAAUAAAAAUAUUUUACCCUAAUUCUUGACAGUAUUAAUGUAAUAUAGUAUUUAGAUAAAUCCGUGAGACCUAUUCGUAUUAAAAUAUGUAAGAGGAAACCAAGUCUAGAAAGCAAUAAUAAUAUAUAAUAUAACUGAUCAGUAACCAUAUCCAGAACAGAGUAGAAUAUUACGACCAAAAAUGGCACCAAUGUAAAACCUAAUAGAAGAAGGGAAUUGACAUAAUGACAAAAACAUAAAAUAGAGUUAAAUAUGAAAGAUUACUUGAAUAAUUUCUCCGUAAUGUGAUUCAGUCGUGCAACAUCUGCACCUACAAGUUCAUCAGUCUUUCUCCCGUUUUGAAAGAAAUGAAGUGUGGGCUGCAGCAAGGUAAAUCAUUGUUAUCCUAUCUCACUUUUGUGACUGUUACAAUGCAGGAAUUAUAAAGCCAAGUGUAAUGUAUCCGAUGAACUAAAAAAAUAACUAAUGUAUGGCACAUGUGUUCGAUAAUAUACAUAAAUCUGAGUAUGUGUGAACUACCAAACAUAGCAAAAUCAUUUGACAAUGAAACACUACCUAAUUGAGUAUGUGCAGCAUUACAUCGAAACAGAAACCAGUCUGUUUCUAGUGUAAAAUGAAAGCAAAUCACAAACAUAACCAAAACUAGAGGGUUCUAUAUAUAACUCAAAAGGGGUAGAAAAGGGUUUUUUUACCCUAUAAAGAAUAGAGGCCACGACUGGGAAACACAACCUAAUAGAACACCUGCAGCAGCCUAAGGCCGCUUGAUUGCUAUAGAGCUACUAAUAACUACACAUCUACGACUGAAGGUCUAUCAUGAAUUAAGAUUAUGUUUCCUGUUUCUUAACUUUAAUGAAGUAACGAUCUACUGAAGGAGCUAAGGGAAGGCGACGGAAACACAAAAAAUUAAUUGAAAUCAUUGAAUCAGUCCCAGAAAGAGUGAAUCAAACAAGGGAUAUGGAUUAGGAAAAAGGAAGACAGUCCAACUGGAGCAAAAUUUCCAAUUGCACAGCCACUUCUUCUAGUUAUGAAUGGCUAACGUGAUUGAUGGUUACAAACAGAUGAUAUUGUGCAGACAUAUUUGAAAGUUUUAUCCCUACAAACAAUAUUUGAACAAAUAAAUUUCUAAAAGCAAGAUUAAAUAAAUUACCACAGAUGUAAUCUGCAACCUGCUCAACGUGUCUCGAAUUGCUUCCUGAGAUAUAUAAGAGGGAAAAGUAAAUAUUUUGGCCUCUCUGCCACUGUGAUCCAUAGUAUACGCAAUAAUAUUUUUAUGCCAUCACAAACACAUCUUCUAAAAUGGAAGAAACUAAUGAAAUUCAAACAAAAGGGAGAAACCACCAGAUCCUAACAACGAAAAGACCAGAUAGUUGCCACCAAAGUAGCAAAAUUUGAAAAGCAAAAACCACUCAAAUGUAAAGGGAAGCAAGGUUAGAAGGCAUGCUAAUUUUUUUAAAAAAAUUGAUUAUAAAGCUACAAUUAAUAAUUGAAUGUAGCUUUAUAAACAAUUGUUAGUUAAAAAUUAGCAUGUUUACAAACCUUGCUUCAGUUUAAGUUUGAGUGGUUUUUGCUUUUCAAAAUCCAUUAUGUAAAGCAUAAUCUGGUUUGCGAUUCAAAAUAAAACCCAUAGAAUGGACUAUUAAAAAUAUUCCAGACCUGAUCAAUGUCAAUCUUAUAAGUUGUGACAUGAGGGUACUUGUUACUGAGCUCCCCAACUAUAGGAGAAAUGAACCUGCCUAAACAGAAAUGAACAAUUCAAGCAUGAAGACAGCCACUGAAUAAAGUGACAUCGCGGAAGAAACGAGAUAGGAACUUACAAGGUCCACACCAAGGGAAAGAGAUUAGUAAUAACAAACCUUGAACCUUGUUAAGGAUAUUAUUGAACUCUUCCUCUGAAUUAACUAAAAUAACUCAAAUUCCUAGGCACAUUAAAUUAUUAAAGUUGUUCAAUUUUUAUAAAAACUAUCACUGAAAUUAUUAGUAUAAAAAAUUAUGACGAGUUAACAUUGUCAAAAAAAUUUACAUCAACCACAAUAUAUGAUCAUUUUUUUUAUAUAUUUAAAAUCUUUUAUUCAAUUAUUAUUUUAUAAGUUUAUCUUGUAUGCAUUAAAUAUUCAUUUUAUUUGAAUAUUAUUAUAAUUAUUAUUAUUUUGGUAAAUAUAAGAAGGAUGGAUCUAAUUUCUAGCACAUAAUAAUAUUUUUUUAUAAAUUUUUACAUUUUAAACGACGUAUAAUUAUAAGCUUUCUAUACAAUUAUAUGAUAAAAUGAUAUCUAAUUCAGUAAAAAAAUAUUUAAAAAUUUAUAAUUCAUGUACUCUUUUACUUCUUAUAUGAUUAAUAUGUUUUAGAUAAAAAUAUGUAAUUUUUUUGAUUAACUUCUGUAUAUAAUGUAAGAAAUUUAGAUGUGUGGAAAAUAUACAAGUACAACUAAUUUAACUUUAUUUAAAUUUUUGACAAUUAAUUAAAUUUGAGGGUUUUUGUGUUCUUGACUCAAAUAAUUUGGGAGAUAAAAUUCUUCUUUUCAAAGUUACUCAAUUCAAUUUUUUUUUCUACCACUCUCUAUUUCCUCUUUUUCUCUCCCUCUCAAUAACAUUCUCUCUUAAAAACAAACUUUUUCUUUCUUCUUCUUCCAAAUCACUAAAUUAAACUACUUAUUUUCUUUGAUUUUCUUCCGUUUAAAAAAUACAUCUAACGCUUUUUUAACUCUUUACUCACAUCUAUUCAUAAAGAAGUAGAUAAAUUUUAAUUGCUUAUCAUCUCUAUUUUUUUUUUUCUCUUCUACAUCUUUUUCAUUAANNNNNNNNNNNNNNNNNNNNNNNNNNNNNNNNNNNNNNNNNNNNNNNNNNNNNNNNNNNNNNNNNNNNNNNNNNNNNNNNNNNNNNNNNNNNNNNNNNNNNNNNNNNNNNNNNNNNNNNNNNNNNNNNNNNNNNNNNNNNNNACUCAAAACAAUAUAACAUGAUUUUGUCAAGGUAAAGAAUAAAAAAGAAGUAUCGUUAAAGGUAGAAAAACCCGUUUUUGCUAUAAAACUAUUAUUAUUAUUAUUUAUAUUUAUGUUUAUGUUUAUUCUAUUAGAAACUAAUAAUGUUUUUGGUAUUAGAAAGUGUAGUAAUUCAAGUUAAAUAUUGAUUAUAUGUAAUCACUAACUAAUUAAUCACUUGAUUAGUUUGUUAGAAGUUAGUUAUAUUGAAUUAUAAUGAAUGUGAUCAACACCAUGUAUAACUAGCAUAGCCAUUCUAAUAAAAUAGAGUCUAUUCAUUCAUAUUAAUUCAUCCUUUUUGGUUUACUUCCAUUGCAAGCAACAUUGUAAAAUACUAAUAAUUGGUAUCCAUAGUAAGAUUUUAUGAUCUACAAUUAGAGUGAUAAACACGAGUGAAGUGAGGAUAAGUUAAGUGCAAACAAUGGAAACUUUUCAAUCCACAUGCCAUAUUUUGAUGGAAAAGAUUGAGAUAGAAGGAUAGUGCAAAUUCGAGCAUUGUUUGAAUUUCAAUAAGUGUUAGAAAUCAUAGAAAAAUAUUUUGAAGAUAUGAGAGUCAAUCCAACAUAGGAGCAAAUAUCAAGUUUUAAAGAAAACAAGAAGAAAAAUUGCAAAGCCACCUUAAUUAUUCAUCAAUGCCUUGAUACAACAAACUUUGACAAGAUAUCUGAUGCAAGAAGUGCAAAAGAAGUAUGAAACAUUAUUGAGAAGUGUUAUGCAGGAGGAACCAAGGUCAAGAAGGUGAAGUUGCAGACCUUACAGCGACAAUUCGAAUUGCUACAAAUAGAGGAACAAGAGAAUGUUUCAGAUUUGGUUUCAAGACUAAAGAGUAUCACAACUCAAAUGGUUGGAUGUGGUGAGAAGUUAAACAUAAAUUGUGUGAAAAGAUCUUAAGAUCUCAAGUUUGACUAUAUUGUAUGUACCAUUGACGAAUCCAACGACAUUUCCACAUUGAGUAUUGAAGAGUUGUAGGGAUUUUUAGAUGAAAGAGAGUUGAGAAUGGUUGAAAGAAGUAAAAUGAAAUAUGAGGAUCAGACGCUGGUGGCACAAGUCUACAAGAAAGGAGAUCAAAAAAAGAAAAAGAAAAAGAAAUGGAAGAAGAAUAAAUUCAAGAAAUCUGAGGAUAAGUUUGAGUCUUCAUCAAAGGGAGGAAGUGCAAGUGAUAAAUUCAAAAAAAAAUAAAAGAACCUUGUAUUCUACUAAUGUCGUCAACCUAUGAUAAUUAUUGAUUAUUAAAUUUGGUGUAAAUUUUAUAAAUUUUUAAUUAAAACGAAUGAAAUUGCCGUAAUAUAAAAAUGCAGUUGGAAUUCCUGUGGAGUUACUUUUUGCUAAAAAAUUUAAUAUACAAUAUUUUUAUUUAUUUAUUUUGCUGAAUCAAAUAUAAAACGAGGGACAACGCUGUUAUCCUCUUUGUUACAUUUUGGUACUAGGAAAAUCACACAAAAUUCCUAUAUCUCCUUUAUUACACGUAAAAUUAAUUAAUUAAUUAAUUAAUCUAAAAUUAUAGGUACAAUUUAAUUAUUUAAAAAAUAAAAAAAUAAAGCUCGUGCACACCGGGAACCAGCAACGUAGGUAUAAAAAAACUCAGAAGAGAGAGGGAGAAGUUGAAUUGAAAUGUUGUGUGUGAGAUACAUAAAUCUCUGAAACAGCGUUUCAGGGUUUUAGCAUUCGAUUCUACAACAACCUACGACUAGUUCACCAUAACAUCAAAAUAAAGUGAGUCACCAAUUCCAUCAAUUGUAUUCAUUCAAUGUUCCAUAAUCGCCAAUUGCUUUUUACUUCUUCCAAUCUCUAUAAACUCACCCACCAUCUUCCCUUUCUUUCUCGCUCUCACUCCUCCACUUCCCCAACACCCUUUUCCCCAAAGUUUACGUUUUUACCUUCUACAACCGGUUUCACUUCCACGUGGGGAAUCCCAGGUUUGUUCAAAGAUUCAAACUUUAUAGAUAAAAAUGUUAGUUUCAUUAGAUGUUACUGUAAUAAUAGUGGUGGGUCUAAGGAAUGGACAGAGGAAAUUGAAUAUUUAGAUGAAUCAGGUAGUGUUAUUUAUAAGGGUAAGGGUGUUAGGUCUGUGAUGCCUGGGGUUGAUGAUCAUGUUAUGGUGGGUGAGGUUAAGAAACCCUUUUUGAAUGCUUUGGCUGGUGCAAAAAUUGUUGACGUUGUUAUGAGGUGGAAGUGGGGUCCUGAAUUGGAGACCCAAUUGGAUAAACUUCAGUUUGUACCAAACAUGACUCACAUUGCUCAAGCUUUGAAGCUUAUUAAUGAUGGUGACGCUCGUUUGAGUUUGUUUAGGUGGGCUAAGAGACAAUCUUGGUAUUCACCUAGUGAUGAUUGUUAUGUUAUGUUGUUUGAUGGUUUGAAUCAGCGUAAGGAUUUUGAUGGGAUACAAUCGUUGUUUGAUGAGAUGGUUGGUGAUUCUAGUAAUAGUGGGGUUUCGUUGGUUGUUUCGUGUAAUCGAGUGAUUCGGUACUUGGCUAAGGCUGAGAGGUUGGAAGUUGCUUUUUGUUGCUUUAAGAAAAUACAGGAUGGGGGUUGUGAAGUUGACACGGAAACGUAUAAUUCGCUUAUUACUUUGUUUUUGAAUAAGGGUUUGCCUUAUAAGGGGUUUGAGAUAUAUGAGAGCAUGGAGAAAGCCAAUUGUUCGUUGGAUAGUUCAACUUAUGAGUUGAUGAUUCCAAACUUGGCAAAGUCGGGCCGUCUUGAUGCUGCUUUCAAACUUUUCCAAGAAAUGAAAGGAAGAGAUUUCCGUCCGGGUUUAAACAUUUUUGCAUCGCUUGUCGAUUCAUUGGGGAAGGCAGGGAGAUUGGACAGUGCUAUGAAAGUUUACAUGGAGAUGCGAGGUUAUGGGUACCGGCCACCCCCUACUAUAUACGUUUCUUUAAUUGAAUCUUAUGUAAAAUCGGGAAAGUUAGAGACCGCUUUGAGGCUUUGGGAUGAGAUGAAAUUAGCAGGGUUCAGGCCAAACUUCGGCUUGUAUACGUUGAUCAUCGAGUCCCAUGCAAAAUCAGGGAAGCUUGAUAUUGCUAUGUCUGCAUUUUCAGACAUGGAGAAAGCUGGAUUUCUACCGACUCCAUCUACGUAUGCUUGUCUCUUGGAAAUGCACGCUGCGUCUGGACAAAUUGAUCAUGCCAUGAAACUGUACAAUUCAAUGACUAAUGCAGGUUUAAGGCCAGGCCUAAGCACUUACACCAUUCUUUUAACUCUACUGGCUAAUAAGAAGCUGGUGGACGUCGCGGCCAAAAUUCUACUUGAAAUGAAGGCCAUGGGAUAUUCUGUGGAUGUAACAGCUAGUGAUGUUUUGAUGGUGUAUAUCAAGGAAGGUUCGGUUGAUCUUGCUUUGAGGUGGUUGCGUUUCAUGGGUUCGUCUGGGGUCAGAACCAAUAAUUUUAUAAUUAGGCAGUUGUUUGAGUCUUGCAUGAAGAACGGGAUAUAUGAGUCAGCCAAGCCUCUUCUCGAGACAUAUGUUAACUCUGCUGCAAAAGUCGAUUUGAUACUUUACACCUCUAUUUUAGCUCAUCUUGUCAGGUGCCAAGAAGAAGAGAAUGAGAGGCAUUUGAUGUCCAUCCUUAGUGCUACAAAGCAUAAGGCACACUCUUUUAUGUGUGGACUUUUCACUGGUCCGGAACAGAGAGGGCAACCGGUUUUGUCUUUUGUCAGGGAAUUUUUCCAAAGUAUUGAUUACGAAUUGGAGGAAGGUGCUGCAAAGUACUUUGUCAAUGUUCUUCUCAAUUACCUAGUUCUUAUGGGACAGAUAAAUCGAGCUCGGUGCGUUUGGAAGGUUGCUUAUGAGAAUAAACUUUUCCCAAAGGCUAUAGUUUUUGAUCAGCACAUUGCUUGGUCACUUGAUGUUAGAAACUUGUCGGUUGGAGCCGCCCUUAUAGCAGUAGUGCACACUCUUCACAGGUUCAGAAAGCGUAUGCUAUAUUAUGGUAUUGUCCCGCGACGGAUUAAAUUGGUGACGGGACCAACUUUAAAGAUUGUGAUUGCACAGAUGUUAAGCUCAGUAGAGUCGCCGUUCGAGGUGAGUAAAGUGGUUCUUAGGGCACCGGGAGAUUCUGUCAUGGAGUGGUUUAAGAAACCAAUAGUUCAGCAGUUUCUUCUGAAUGAAAUUCCAUCUAGGGCUGAUAUCCUGAUGCACAAGCUGAACAUACUUUUCCCCAACUCUGCUCCCGAAAUUAGAUCUCUGUCGCCUCCUAAACCUCUACUUGCAGGCCGAGCAGAGUAAACAGUCUUAAUGUUUGAGGUACACUUUCUUUGUAUGUUCGGUAAGCUGAUACUAUAGACAGAUAUGUACUAUUUAAGAAUUUUGAAUGAAAUAUUUUUAGAUUUAUAUUCUUUUCCCCCACAAAUUUUUUGGAGUGAUGCAUAAAAAUUCAUAUCCUUUAUCAUUGAUGUAAAAUAUCUCCAGAUCAUAUAUUUUUGUGAAGAGCUUGCCUGUUUUAGAAAAGCUAACCUGAGGAAUGUCGUGAAACGAAAGGUUGUAAGGUGGCAGAGAAGAACCCGCCGAAAACAACAACUAGUGUAGGAUCUUUCUUUUUACCAAAGCCUUUACAAAUAUAUUUUAUCAAAUGAAUUUCAGCUUAAAAAUAACUUUUAAGCUAAAAAUAUUGCAAAGUUAUCAACCAACUUUAACUUUACUUUUAAAGUUUUUAUUUUUAACUUCAACUUUAAAGUAUUUUUUUAAACGGGUAAACCACCAUUUUAGUCCAUGAAAAUGAAGGACUAUGUAAUUUUAGUCCAUGAAUCAAUCAAAAACCCAAAUAGUCCUCCAAAUCAGCAGAUACAACUUACUAUCAUAAAAGGCUCUGAAAGAUACAGCUUAUUGUCAUAGUAGUCUAUGACUAUUAUAACGUCAGAGACUAAACCGACUUAUGUUUUGAUAAUUCGAUGACUAACUUGAGUUUUUGCCUAGUAAACUAAGUAUAGAGCUCUAACAACCCAACUUAACUAACUAAGCUAGUCAUUCAAUUUCAUUUAGGAAUACUCUAGAUCUUAAUUUUGUUAUUAGAACUCAGUUAGGAGUAUUCUAGAGUCUUUACAAGAAUAGUAAGUCUAUAAAUAGACUCAUGGGUACACAUUUCAUAGUAAUGUAAUUAGAGAAACACUUUCCUAACUCAACCUUCCUAAUUUUUCUCACUUUCUGUAUAUCUCUACUUCAUUUACCAUAAAGUAGAAGUUCACCAAGCUGCUUCUAGAAGUUCACCAAGCUGCUUCUGUGUCCGUAGAUACCUUUUGUCAUCCAUAUUAAAAACUGGUGAUCAGAUAAUGAAUAUGAGAGAGCGAGCUUGCAGUGACAAUGAUAUAGUCUGCAUAAACCAGUUGAUGAAUUAUAACUAAAACUUGAAGAUUGCAAGGCUGGAUCAGUGUUUGAGGGAUGCUGUGUUAGAGAUGAAUUAGAACUAAAACUUGUUGUGUCUGAACCAUGCUGCAUGGAAGAAGUGUCAGAAAGUGAAACAUGAAUAUUGACACAGAUACCAAACACGACACUGAUACGUCGAUAACGGUAAUAAUUUGAGAAAAUGAAUUUAUUGAAUGUAAUAAACGUGUCAGUGUUGUGUUGGUUUCGUCUCGAACAUCAGAACAUGUCUUUGAUUAGAAGUGUCAUUGCUACAAAGGUCAUAUAUGUGUGGAUGGGAAGAAGGGUGAAACAUGCAAGCUGAACUUGAUGCUCUGAUUUCUGGAUAUCCUAACAAAUUUAUCUGUUAUGCCUGAUACCAUGUUAAAUUUUGAUUAAGUGAGAAAAGGAGACAGAUAAAAAAUGAGAGAGAGUAAUAAUCAAGUGUCACUGCAAGUCUCUGAAACCGUCUUUAAAAUAGCACUUUGAUGAAAUUAAGAAAAUUGACAGUAUUAUUAAAUCCAUUACCAAUUUGUAUUGUUCUAAAUUUACCCUUUAAAAGAGAUAAUUUUUUUUAUCACAAUAUUUGUUGUUAGUUGCUAGAAUGCAAAUCAAAAUUUGAAAUGGAUCUUAUAAAAGAAAGUGUUAUAUUUAGGGACAUAGGAAAUAUUAUUUAACUCUGAAAAAUUUAUGUUUAUGCUUAUAUUGGUCAGAUUUGAAACAUAAUUCAUUAAAUUACCUAAUUUUUAUAAUGAUGGAUGAUAAAAAUUCAUAACCGAAAACGAAAACAAGUUAACUCCAAUUUAUGAUUUAGUGUAGUGGUAAAAAAGAGAUAUAUUGGUUCCGAGUUCCUUCCCUUUUAGUGCCAUUAAAGUGAAAGUGAAGUAAAUGAAAAUAUUUGUUAGUGUUCAAUAAAUCAUAAAAUUUUGUUUAUCUUUGACUUGUGUACUAUUCCCUCACUUUAAGUUUCUUCUAUAAAAAGUAAGGAAAACAAGUUGAUCAUAUUUAAAAGCAUAUGUGACCGAACAUUCAAAUUAUUGAAAAUUUUAUUGAAUGUAUUGAAGUGAAUUUAGCAUAAUAAUUAAUUCUCUUAAUAAAGUUUUAUAACAUAUAAAUUGAACUAAUUUCACCAUUAGAAUCAAGUAUAUUAAUUUAAGGUAAAAUAUCUAUCACAAUUCAUUUACUUAAUUUUAGGUAGUAAUUCAGUUUUUUAAUUUUUUUCCCCUCAAAUUGAUCAUUCAUUUAGUUUUAAGUAACAAUUUGAUUAUUUAUGUCUUAAAUAUCAACAAUAUCUUUUUAUUUAUUUAUUUUUUAUUUAGAAAUUCAUCAUCAUUUUUAUACAAAAUUCAAAAAAUUAAUUAUCGUCUUCAACAAAAUCUAGAUUUUUCUCAAAUUCAUAACUCAAUUCAUUACAUCUCUAAGAUAAACAAAUCAAGUUCAUCAAAUAAAUAACUCACAUUUGAUGUUAGUGAAAGAUAAAAAGAAAAAUAAGAAUAUAUUCUCUUGGCAAUUUGUAGAUCAAAUUUUAAAGUGAGAGUUCUUUAUUUGAUAAAUUUGAUAUUCUUACUUGUUGCUGGAGAUGAAGAUACGAAGUUAUUUGAAUAUUUGAGUUAUGAAUUUAAUGAAUAUAUAAAUUUUCUUGAAAUUAAUAAUGAAUUUUCUUGAAAUUGUGAUUUUAUGUUUUUAUAUUAAAAUAAAAUAAAAAUAUCAACUAGUCUUCGAAAUUUAUAAAAUAUCACAUGCUUAUUUUUUCAUGUAAAUUUCAAUUUCAUCAUGCUUGAAUCAAUUUGAUUCAUAAUUAGCCAUAAAUUACUAAGUAGAAUAAGUACGAAGUAAUCUCUCUGAAAUAAAGUAUAAGCAAAAAUAAUAUUUGAAAAAUUAAUGUAUAAGAUUAAAAAUUUAGUUAUGAUACAUUAACUUUUCAAUUACUAUUUUUAUUUUUAUUUUAUUUCAGAUGAAGCAUCAUAUUAGAGUUCAAUAAAUAUUUAAAAAUGUGAUUGAUCUAGUUUUAUGUAAACAAAUAACAAUCAAGUUGAAGGCAAAUAGAUGAACUUCAAAAAAUAUUCAAGUUGGAUCCUUAGGAAUCCAUAAAGUUGAAUCUUAAACUCACCUCAAUUGGAAUGAAAAAAAAGAUUAAUUUCAAUAUAUUUAUAUAGUAUAAAUUUUUUAACACAUAUAUUCAAUCAAAUUAUAUCGUGCUACUUUUUUAUUUCAGUUCUUAAAAAAUAUAUUUAUAAAAUUACAUUGAGUAAUUUGAUUGUAUAUAUAUAUAAAUUAAUUAGUGAAUACAAAUUAAAUCUAUAAAAAAAAAUGUCAAAAUUUAUUCCCCAAGCGUUGGAUUAUUUGCCAAUCACUAUGGGCUUUAUUUGAAACAUUUUUGUAUUUUAGUUUUUAAAAAUAUGUAACUCCAAAUAAAUUUUUUAAUUUUAAAAAACUAAAAUAGAGUUUUUAAGAUUAAAAUCAAACAGACUCUAUAUAUUUUGAUUUUUGUCAUAAAAUUAAAUUAUUGUGAGUGAGCGAUCAUGCAUGUUAAUCUUGAUUACAAAACAAAACUUCAUUCAUACAUAUUGUUUACAACCAAAUACCAUUUGCAAUAGUUUAAAGAAUGUUUCCCACUUAAAUAUGUCUCAUAGUCCAUUUAUUUUAUAGAAUGUUAGCAAUAUUAACACAAAUUUGGAAUUGAAAAUGAGACCCACUUCCCAAAAUUAGUAGACAGCAACACUGCAAAUGGGUGUUUUAAGAAUUUUUUUAUUAAAUCUUUUAUUUAAAUAACUUUUUAAAGCAUUAAUCUAGUAUUUUAUUAUUUUUAUAGGUCUAAAUGAGGAGUUCAUGGGUCAAAUAUUUUGUUAAUCUAAUUUUCUUUUUUUAAAUUUUAAUUUUUUUUUUUUAAAUCUAAAACAUGUUUGUUUUUUCAGAAAAAAAGAUAUAAACAAUUUUUUUAUUUGAAUCAAAAAAAUUUUGAAGAAAAAAAUUAUAAAUCAUUUUUAUCGUAAAAAAAUUUAAAAUAUUUUUAUCAGAAAAAAUAAAUAAAAAAUUAUUUUUUGGAAAAAAAAUCAAAAAAUCUUUUGUCGAAUUUUUUUUUUGGAAAAAUAUCAAAAGAUAAAUUUUAAAAAAUUGGCUUAUAUGCUGCACCUAACCCACAAAAUUUUAGAGGUUAUUUAGCUUUGGGACUUUCUUUUUUGGAGCUUUAAUAACUAUGAAAUUUUUUAGUCCUUCAAUAUAUGAGUUCAGACCAAUAAUUAGCGGACUUAUAAAAUUGACAGCUCAAGACAUGAUAUAAAUCUAACCGUCAAAUUGACUAUGUUUGGUAACAUUAAAUUAGCUUAUAGCUUAUUGCACUCACUUAUUUAUUGUUGAUGAUUAAUCUAUACAUGUUUUUGUAUUUUUUUUUUAAGUUACGAGAUUUGCUCUACUUUUACUUAAGUUUUGUAUGAAUCUUAGCUCAAGUGCUCAACUGAUAAAUGUUGAUAUGUUAUGUUGGACAUCGUAGUUGUGUAAGUUGAUUUUUAUGAUAUUUACUAUACCUUCUAAGACAAAAAAUAAUCUAAAAGAAAAUAUUAUAUAAAUAAUUAAAUGACAUAUACAAUUGCAACAUUUACGAUUUUAAUCAAAUAUUACUGUAGAUUGAAAUAUAAGAAAAAAAUGAUAACUAAAAAGUUGAUAUUACUAGCGUUCACGCUAUUCUAAUUCAAGUGUAAGAAAAAUAGGAAAAUAUAUAGAAUAUGAAUAAACUUAAAAGAGUUAUCUAAUAUAAAGACUUGAUUUUUGGCUGAUUUUUUAUUUUUAUUUUUGUCUAAUAAUUAUGGGUUAUAAAAUCCAAAAUGAACACAAGAUUAAAACUUACAACUGCAUCGUCCACAAAAAGCACAACCAUUCAACUAAGCGAACCAUUGUGUCAGCUGUCAAUUUUAGCAGCCUUCCAAACAUAUUAUGAAAAUCUCUCACAAUGUGUCAUCCAAAAAGUGAUUUUACAAAGUAUGUAUACUAUGGUUAGUGACCAAUACUUAGUUUGCCUCAAAAAACAGUUCAUGCUUUAGUUAGAGACACAAUAUUCAUCACCCGUAGCCAAACACAUUGAUUUGAAAUAUAAAAUAUAUGCACAUACGAAGAUCUAGAGUAGUAGAGUCGGGGAUAGGCAAAAGGAAGAUGAAUUAGUGAUAGGUGGAACAUGAAUCAACUAACAAAAGUUGUAUAAAGAAGCUAGUGUCCUCCAAAGAUAUGGAGUAAGAAGAAAAGGACGAUGUCAUACAAUUUAAAGUCCAGAUCCUGUUAAGUACAAUUCUCAAAACUAACUGAAAAUGGUUCUUAUAACUUGUAAGGUUUAGUACCAUACAAAAUUUCUCAAGGAGCAACAGUGCCUCUAGAAAUAGUGUUGCCCUCUAUUUUCUUUCCUCUUUUUACCCCAAUUUAGCACCCUCACUUGUUUUCAAUAAAUCUUUACCUCAAAAAUUAGCAUUCUUGAACUUAUCAGUUGUCAGCAUCUCAUAGUCAUAACGUAUUCAGUCACCAAUUUAAAUGAUAAAUCAAAUUGUCAAAAACCCUAUACUGGUUUUGUACCCUAUACUGAUUUGGUACAAAAUUUACUCCGUAAUGCUUCUUCCAGUUUUUGAAAAAUCAAUGAGAAUGCUCCUGCAAAGAAAAUAGCCCACAUUAAAAUAAUUUAUUCACUCAUUCUAGAGGAGGCAUUGCCUCUUGAACUUAACCAUUACAACUAUCAACUAAUCAAUCACAGGGAAUAGUGUACAAGGAUGAAAACAUAAUGAGAAGUCAAUCAAUCAGCAGACCAACAAUCUUUUAAUGCAGACGAAACCCAUAUUCGAAAGAUUAAUUAUUUCAGGGCGGAAUUUCUUUAGGAAAUUUCCCAUAAUUUUUUAAAAAAUACUACUAGUUUUAUUUUUUAAGAGACAUUUAAAUUAUAAUUUAGUCAACAAAAAUUAAUCUAUUUUAUAGAACAAAUCAGGCCGACCCUUAACCCGUGCAACUAAUUGUUUGUAUAAUAUAGUUGAACUUUUAAAAAUUUCAUUGAUAUCCUUAAUCUUUUCUACUCUAACUAGUCUAAAAUCUUGUAUUUUCAUUUUAUAUCUAGAAUAUUCAAAUUAUAAAAUUACUCUUGUAAUCUCACAAAACAUUUCUCUCACUCUUGUCCUUAUCUUCUCCCUAUCUAAUAUCUAAACAUAUUAACCCUAUUUCUCUCGUCUCCUCUCCUCUCCACAUCUACAACGAGUCAGCUACUUCUCUCAUCUCCUCUUGACUCUUUGAAAGAAACGAUAUUUGUAUGGAUGGGUAUAGAAUGAUUGUCUUAAAAGUAAAAUUAUGAUCUACAUAUAAUUUUGAGAAAACUUUUCAUACAAAUUUGAUUGAAUUUUUGGAAGUAGAUAAAUUUGAUAAGAAAAAAAUAUUUAUAUUAAAAACUUUGAAAAAGAAAUAGUUAUUAAUUGUGACAAGGUUGUGAAAACAACCGGCAUGACAUAUGUUAAUAGAUAUGCUAAUUAAUAUAAAUAUUGUGGUGUAUGUUGUAAUUUUGGAUUCUAUACGGUAUUAUACUUUUUAUUUAUCCAUUAAAAUUUUAAAAAUUUGACCACUAAUGUUUCAGUUCAAGUUCUGCCACUACUUAGGUCUGUUUGGUUUAACGGAAAGAAGGGGAGGGGAGAGAAAUAGAGAUAUGGUUGGUUUAAAAGAGGGGAGGGAAUGGAUUUUAAAUAGUUUAUAAGUUAUAUUGAUCCCCUUCCAAAAUUGAUCCUCUCCCUUUUUAAAAAUUGAAUCAAACACAAUUUUUAAAAAAAUAUUCCCUCCUCUCCCAUUUUAAAAAUUGAAUCAAAUACACAUUUUUUUAAAUAUUCCUUCUCCUCCAACCAAACAGAACCAUAGCCAAGAAGGACAUAUCUGCAAACACAAGUGAAAAAAAUACAUUCCUCCAAAGCUAAUUCUAGAGUCAGCUGUAGACUAAAAUGCUAUUAAAAUAAUGAAAAAGACAAUUGGAAAAGCAUUUUGGAGAAAAAACCUGAUAAUAGGCAAUUCCUAUCUUGUAAUGAACCUUUCACCAACAAUGUCCCAGGGAUUUGCUGAAAAACCUGUAAGAUGGAAAGAAAAACACUAAGAUCAACGUGAAUCUGCCGAUCAAAGUUAUUUCUCAAGCUGGCAAAGAGUGAACGCAUACUGAUAUACGAAGGCAUGAGCUAUCACGAGAGAGAUUAACACUUGAUCCAUUAGAUGUCUUCUCUGUAGGUUGAUAAUAAAUGGAUUGAUUGAGAAUAGGUAGUUCAUUCUUCAAGAUUGAAUCACAGUCAUCUUUUGUUGCUACAACCUAUCAAAUUUAAUAGCGCUUAAUAGCCAUCACUAGGAAAUUAGAUUAGAAUCUGAGAAACUAGUCUUACAUCCACUGUGAAAGAGGAGGUGUUCAAUGUGCAGGACAGGCCAUGCAAAGAAAAGUAAGACUUGACAUCUUCCAACACAUUAAAGGCACCAUUUUGGCGUUGAAGACCCUGUUAAGUAAAUUUGUAUAAUGACAUCAAUGACAGAGUUUUGAGAAGAGCGUGUUGCUAGCAUUGCUCAAUUAUAAACUGAAGGGUCUUAGGCUUCACGAUUCAUGAUAUCCUCAAAAAGAAAACUAUAUAUAUAGAUUAUGUUGUCAACAAUACGUCAAUAUCUUAGUGUGAUAUAUAAUGUGCUACUAGGAAUUAUGAUGGCUACAAGAAUAAUACAUCAAUUUUCACUGAUGAGAGAUAACAGCCAAUUUUUUAAGAAAAAAAAUGAAUUGUAUAUCAGCUCAAAACAACAGUUGCUAGAUACUGAAAAACAGAUAACAAUAUACCUCAAGCAUGAAGGACAUGGUAUUCUUAUUCGGCAAAGAAGUCGAUGACUUCUGUGCAAGAGGCAAGAAAGACCAUGCAAGCCCCCAUCUGGACGUCCUGCCCUGGACAAAUUCAGUUGUCUUCACUACAGUGACUCCAACUUCCCAAAGUUUUGAUAUAAGGUUCUUGAGAUUUGAUUUUCGACCUAUCAUUGAAGUGAACCACCUACGAACAAGUUGAAAUAGUUGAGCACAAACUUAUAACAAGUAAAUAUCAACACUUAAACAUAAGAUACAUGAACACUGUCCUUUAUAAAAAAAAGAGAUACCUAAACUGAUGCUUCAGUUCAGUACUAUCUUCAAUAAUACGAGUAAUGAAGGCCUUUUCACCGCCAGAGCAAACCAUUUCUUCAGAAGUGCCACCACAAGAAGUUUUGGGAUUAAGUCCAGCUUCGUCCAAGCUUUCAAAAAAUGGGGGAUUACACAUGCAAAAAUCAAACUUCUCAUCAUCCCUGACUACACCAACAAGUAUGGGAGGUCCAUGAUAAUUCUUAUUCUCACAUGCAUUCAAAUCAAGAGGUAAUAUCGGCAAAGGCUCUACCUCCGUGUCAGUUCUCCUGGACAAAUCUAUCUUACCACUAAGGACUGACUCUUCAUUAUGCAACCCUUCCGCACGGGGAGUAGUUGCAUUGCUUUGAACUCUCCUAAUUUCAAUCAACUCAGAAAUAUGGGGAUUACUAUUAACAUUUUUCUCCGCCCACUCAAUAGCAACAUCAGUUACAUCUGCAUCCGAUUAAGCAAAUUUUUAAAAAAAAAACUAUUUAUUUUAUUUAUACAGCAACUACAAGAUAAAAUUAAAAUCCAACUAGAGUAACAAAAACAACAUACAUUACAUACCUGAUCCUACAAAACUCCAUCCCAAAAGGGACGCACCAAGAAGUGGGUAAAUGCAAUUGGCUCCAGUUCCUAUAUCAAAUCCUCUGACCUUACCUCCAGUUGGAAUGGUAUUUGGAAUGAUGUUAGAUGAAAGAAGAUCUUGAAGCCAAUGAAUGUAAUUAGAUCUGUUAGGUACAGUGGGACAGAGCUGCCCAUCAGGAAUCCACCUAGUAAAAUUAUUCAUUAGUAAAAUGUCAAAAGAUGAUGAUUUGCUGUGUCACAAAGCUUGUUAGUUAACUCAAGAAUCACACAACUCUUAGUAGAGAAGACAAACAAGAAAAUACCAGUUGAGAGCAUGGUCAUAGUGGAGCAAUACACGGGUGAGUUCACGAGUUGCGUUGAAAUCGGUCCAAUCGAUUCUAGGGUGCCCAUUAUGCGAGUAUUGCACAAAAGGUUCGAAGGAUGAGUAGAGAGAAGCCAAAUGGGCAAAGUCAGGUGGGUUCUCUGAAUACUUGUUGUUGGGAUGAAUGGUGGGUUGCUCAACCUCUCUCUUCCUCUUCUUGUUUUUGCCCCUCAUUACUCAAAAUGAGACUUCUCUUCCACAAUUACAGUGAACCUACCAAAUUUUUAAGGAGAAAGGCAGCGCCGCUUGCUUAGUUUACCUAUGGCUUUGAAACUCCAGAGCAAUCUAUAUAUAAUUAAUCAAAGCGCAUACAGAAUACAAAUUAAUCAUGUUUAUUACAUUCAAUAUCAAACAAAAGUUUUAACAUAAUUCGUUUAUUAUGACAUCCUCUUACUCUAAGCUCUAAUAUUUAAUUCUAGGGUGAACUAAUGAACAAGUUCUGUAUCAGGUUUUGCGUAAAUUUUCAAAAGAAACUGGUAAUUAAUUGCAGAAUAUUAACAAUAAAACUCUAAGUGAGAUUUGUAGAGUUGAUUGGAAGUGUAACACACAUUUAAAUGUAUAAAAAUGAUUAAAUUCACAAAUCAAUACCAUCAAAACAUAAACCUGUGAGAUUCAAAGACAGUCCGAAGAAGAAGAAAAUUAAAGAUUACCUAAUAGUUCUAGAGUGUGUAGCGACAACGGUGGCGGCAAGAUGGUGAAAAUUGGUUGGGUGAGGGAAGCGAUUGCGAUGACAAAGCGGCACUGGCCUUCUACAACUCUACUCAAUUUCUACAAUGUGUUCAACAGUUUUUUUUUUUUUUUUUGUAGAUUCCUUUAAAAAACGUGUAAACAUGGUAAAUUAUAGAUGAUCUGGUGUGUGACUAAGAUGAUUCAUGAUAGCUUAGCUUCGUCCCUUCUUAUCUCCCUUAUAUUUAUUCCUUUAAUCUAAAUUUCCAAAUCUAAAAACUACAGAAACGAAAACCACUCAAUUCUCAAAUCAAUGUACCAAUGUCUUCGUUUUGUGUAGAGUCAAGACGUUGAUUGUGGUUGUUUAUUCUUUGAUUGGUGUACCACACUGUGGAGAAUGUUCACAAAAGGAACUGAAAAUAUUGACACUCAAAACGACUAUAAUUAAGAUGAAUGAGAGAUCACGGUGGAAUCUAAUUUGUAUGUUGUUGGCAAUAAUUUGUAUCAUGGUGAAAUCCAAGUCUUGAACAUCUAAGUGUGGCGGUUAAAUUUUAUGAAUUGGGUAUGUAAGAUGAAGUCUAUUGUGUAAUUUAAUUGUUCAGAUUUUAUUGAAUUUAUAUAUAUGUCUCAUUUUGAUGUUUAGGUUAUGUAAUUUAAGUGUUGUUGAUGUAGUCAAUUGACAUUUCUAUAGGAAGAUUUCGUCAAGAUUUAUUGCAGAAAGAUAUGAAUUAUUUAUUAGAAGAGUUGAUCAUAAUCUCCAAGAAGAAUUUAACUAUUUACAAGAAGAUAUGAUCAAGAAUUAUUUACAAGAAAAUACAUUCAUAAGAAGAUACAUUUAUUAUUUACAAAAAUAUGAUUCAGGUUUUGCAAAGAAAAUGGAGAAACCCUAACAUAUUCUAUAAAUAUAUUGAAGGCUGAAGAAGAAAAUAAGAGAACUCACAAGCACAAAAUCUUCUAAGUCACUGGAGUUCAUAAGGUUAAACUCUAGAGAAGCAAUUGCUCAAUUUAAAAUUUUGAUUUAUGCGCUUAAUUUAAAUUAACUCAAGAUCAAUCUUGAUUGAAACAUAAUGUUCAUAAUGUCUGGGAUAUGUUAGAAGUAAAUAAAACAUAUUAGUUUAUAAUGAAGUGUGCUUUGUGUGUGCAAAUAGUUAAAGAUAAGGAAUAAAAAGAUCGCAAACAAAAAGUAUAAUGGUUCACCUAACUCGGGCUAGUCCAGUCCUCACAACUGUGAGAUUUUCACUAUGUGCUUCAAAACUAUAAUGUUCUCUUUCACACCUUUUCUCUUGAUCACACAUUGAUCAAUUACAAUUUGCAUCUUUCAACCUAGAAAAGAUUUUUACAGUCAUCUAUCAAUCUAGAAAGAAUUUUUACAAACACAUUCAAUGUAACAUAAAAGAUAUAUUUGAGUUACAAAUGAUGUGUAUGAUAAAAGUGUUUGGGAUCUUGAAACUUCUCAACACUUGUUUGAGAUAAAUAAAGACAAAAUUCAGUAAGUGGUGAUCCAGGAACAUAUUGAAGAGAGCUAGAAUUUGCUUGAAGAGUUUUUAACUUGUUCUUACUUGAACAUUUAUUGGUAGAUUUGUAAAUUGAACUUUUGUCUUAAUCUUCCAAUUAAUCUUCAAUUUAUAAAUAACAAGAAGCUUUGUUUCCAUUUAAACUGAAGAUAGUCGUUGGACACACUUCCCAAGGUGCAAACAAUAUUCUAAAAUAAUCUCUUUAAGUGUAGUGUUUUUAUGUUUAGAACGUUCUUGAUUUAUCCAGAACGUUCUUGUCUUGCUGGAGAGUGGAGAAAAAAAAAACAUAAUGUUGGGUGGUCUUCCCUAUGACCGUCGGAAUUGUUCCAGAUUAGAAUUAUGCACAAAUUUCUGCAGAAUAAUUUAAGUACAAUAUAUUUGCGUUCUUGCUCACUACUCAUCAAUCUAAAUAUUAAUUUGGAGGUUGUUUUCCUCCUUUAAGCAUUCAGCUCGAGUUCUAGGUUUGACCACUGAUUCAAACAAUCUUGAUACUCUUAAACUUGUGAUUUGGACUGUGAAAAAUAAUCGAUUUUAAUUAUGUCUUUAAAAGAGAGUAACCAGAAUGUUUUUUUAUAAAACCAGAACGUUUUUGGUUCUCUAUUGUAUGGAGAAUGUGAAUGAGGGAUUGAAUAGUUGUUUAGUGUCAAUCAUUUGUCUCAAAGGCAUGCUGAACUUUCUGCAAAAAGUGCAGCCACAAUGUCCUUUCAUCCUUGUUGUCCUUUCUCGUAGCUUAUCAAUCUGGAUACCGAUCUGGUCAUUAAUAUAGAAGUUGUUUUCCUUUUGUAGCCUUCAGUUUGAAUUUUGGGCUUGAUUAUAGUUUUGAUUAAUUUUGAUAUUCUUUUAUCUUGAGGUUAGGACUAUGGAGUAUAUUUAAAUUUUAUCCUUAAAACGAAAUAGACAAAAUGAUCUUGAUAAACUAUGGAGUGUAGUAAUAAAAUGACACAAGUAAUUUAUCUUGGUUCACCACUAACUUAGCUACAUCCAAUCUCUUCAUUCAUAAUGAUUUAAUCCACUAAUUCAACAACUUGAAUUACAAAGCACAUGACCCUCCAAGUCAUUCUUCUCAAACAUCCUGACAACCCCAGACUUUUGAGAAAUAUACACACCUUGACUCUAUCAGUCAAGCUUUCUUCACACAAUCUAACAAUCUCAUAUUGUUGAAGCCACACUAACACCACUAUCAGGUUUGAAUACAAAAUUUUAAUACUUGAGUAGUUGCUUCUAACAAACUGAUUAUAACAAUGACUAUCACACUCUAAGAAGAACACUUAGCAAAUAUUUCUCUUCCGAACAAGUGUUUCUCUUUUUGAACUCUAAGAUGAAUUUGAAAUUUUGAGCUUGAGUUUUUAUACUUUUUUUUUCUUCUGAUUUUUUCACUUAUCUUCUUCUUUAGCCUUGAGUAUUUGUUUAUAGAUAAAAUUAAGGCUUCCAUUUAAUCAUUGUUUAAUUCUGAAUUGUAUCUUCAUUCCUACCUUGGUCAAUAAUAAUCUCAUUCAAAAAUAAUUCUGAAUAUGAUGCUUUUUUAUAAAAUGUUUUUUAGUCAAUUCUUUAUUUCUGACUCUAAUUUAAGCAACUCUUCUAGAUUGAUUAUGUUCGUAUUUUGUUCAAAUUGACUUUGUAAAUUCUUCAGAUUGGUACUGUUUGUAUUUUGUUAAGAUUGAGUUUGUAAAUUCUUCAUAUUGAUAUUGUUUGAAUUUUGUUAAGAUUGAGUUUGUAAAUUAUUCAGAUGAAACUUCCUUCCCGUUGCUUUCUUUGAUAUGGGCAGAAACAUAGUGUUGGACUGGUUCUUGAACUAUCACAAGUAGAAAUAUGAUUAAGUCCAAUUCAAUAUUUUGUCAUUUGUCAAAAUUUGAAUAAUAUCUUUGCAAAUAAUAAAAAAUGUAUCUUCUUGUAAGUGUUUCUUCUUGUAAAUAUAUCUUGAUCAUAUCUUCUUUUAAAUAAUUCAUAUUUUCUUUUAGAUAAAUCUUGAUCAUAUCUUGUAAAUAAUUUAUAUCUUCUUGUGAUAAAUCUUGAUCAAAUAUUCUUGUAAAUAAUUCAUAUCUUUUUGUAGAUAAAUCUCGAUUAAAAUAUUCUUGUAAAUAAUUCAUAUCUUAUUGAUGAUAAGAUGUUGAUCAUAUCUUAUUCAAAUCUUAAUCAUAUCUUCUUUUCAAUUUGGUCAAAUGUUUUUUCAAUUAUAAAUAUAAAAAACCAUUGAUUAACUCCCACAAACUACUUUAAAAGCAUUGUUUAAAAAAUAGGAGACAAAAGUACUAACAAAAUGUUAGAUAAUCCUACAAACUACUUUAAAAUACCCUAUAUCAAAACAUGAGGAACCACUUAUAUUAUAAUCAACUUCUACAAAAAAAAAAAAAUACAUUAUAUUAGAGACCACUUAUAAUUAUCAUUUAGACAUCAAUUAAUUUCUACAAAUAGAAAAGGACAAACCAUUAUCAAAACAAUAUGGAAAAAGACUAAAAUUGCUUAGUAACAAUCAAGAUACCUAAGUAACAAUGUUGAUCCUUGCCUCAAAUUACUUUGAAUCUCCUUUCGACUCAAACUCGCCAUGUAGACCUAACUAUAUUCCUCAAACUCGUCGCGUGCACAAAGAUAGAAAACUCUAAUUUUGUUAAUGUCUAUGGUGAAAACCCUAUUUUAUUAUUUUUCUAAUUCUAAAAUUUAAGUUUAAAUUAACUAUUUAUUUUAAUUAUUAAUUAUAUUAUUAUAUCAAAUAAAUUAAAAUAAUGUGGUUAAACACAUAUGCCACGUUAAGGCCACAUAUAUAGGUUAACGGUCAUGUGUCGUUCUUUUAACAGAUUUUUUCAAAAGGAUAUAAUUGCUAACGAAGCUCAACUUAAAGGAUUUAUGUGUUUAAGAAAACUAACAUAAAUAAUAUAGAUGGAAACAAAAAACCAUAAAUAACCAAUUUGGGAACUGAGUCUAACAUAUGACUAAAAGUGUAAUUCAGUGUUCUUUAAUCUAUGCAAAUUCUAAUAUCAAUCAUAUUCAUCUACAUAGUCUCGUCAGAUUUUCUAUUAUGAAUAGACGAUAUUUUUUAUUUUAUGUAUAAGAUAUUAACUUAAAUGAACAAGUUCUACGGUAUUAUGAAAAAAAGAGUGUAUAUUUGUACUUUAAAUAUUUGGACGAAUAAUUUUCUCUAAUUUGUCUAAAUGGACAUUACUAUAGUAUCUUUUAAAAUUGACUAAAUUAAGAUUGUUGAUACAUUUAUCUAUUCAAUUUUAACUUCAGUAAUUAAAAAAAUUGCUUUCAUAAUUGAAAUUAAAUUAUAAUUUUAAUUAAAAUCAUAACGAAAAAACAUCAUUUAAAGUUAAACUCAAAAAAUGAAACUUCAAAAUUUAGUGGUGUUAAAUAUAAAAUAUGGUUAAACUCAUUUAGUGAUCAUAUGUCAUUCAAUUAUUGAUGAUUUAAUUUGAUAAUACCAAAACAUGUUAAUUUUCAAAUAUAUCAUAGAAAUUUCUACUUAAAUGAUAUUGAUUUGAUAAAAAUAAAGAAAAUGAAUAUGAAAUAUGUAUUAAAUCAACAUCAAAUAUAACAAUGUCUUAUCUAUAAAGAUGAGAAGAGUUAUAAAUUAUUAGUUCGUAAAAAUAUUGACGAUCAUCAUAAAAUUUGUCGAUGAUUUUCAAGUAUUGAUCCACGAUGGACCACUUAUAAAAGUGGUCUAACGUAUAACUCACCUUGGUACUUAUAUAAAAAAAUAUUUGAAAUUUUUUGUAGUUUCUAAUUAUAAGAAAAAAAUCGUACAUUUUAAAAUAAAUUAAUUGUUUAUUUUAUAUUAACCGUAUUGUGACAAAAAUUAAUUUUGACAUAAUUGAUUUAAAUUAAAAGUGAGUUGUACAUAAAUUGAUCUAUAUUUGAAUACAUACAUUAACAUAAAAGUGAUUUUUAUCAAUUCAUGUUGUUUGAAUAGUUUAAAUCAUAAUUGAUUUUGGAUGUAUAAUUAUGAAAAUGAGUUUAAUUAUGCAAAUUUAAAAUUACAUUUUAUUUCUAUUUUAUAUAAUUAUUUAAUUAUAUAUAUAUAUAUAUAUAUAUAUAUAUAUAUAUAUAUAUUACUAAAAAAACUGAAUUUAAAUGCAUAUUGUAACAGAUUUUUUUUUAAUAACCCUAUUAACUAUUAAAUUUAAAUAAGUUUAAACUUGUAUUAAAUUAUUUAUUUGUGAUAAUUUUGGUUAAUUAGAAAGAAAGAAAAAAAGUUACUAACAACCUUUUCAACUAAAAUUUCAGUACAUAAUUUUGAUUAAAAUGUAUUCACCUCUCAACUAAAUUUUGAAUUACCAAAACUUUCUUAUCUUAGAGAGUUGGAGGGUUAAAAAAAUGUCAACUUUAUAGAAUAAAUCUUUAUAUAAUUCCUUUGUGAUGUCCUUAAAUGGAUUGUGUUUCCUCAACAAUCAGAUUUUUUAAAAUAAAAUAUAAAAUGCAAAAGGAUCACAUUAAAGAAUUAGACAUCUUAACUUUGUUGGCUCCCCUAAAAUUCUAACCUAUCAUUUGUAACACUAUGAUAAUAUUAUAUAAAAAAGUUUAGGGAGACCAAACCAAAAUCCAAACACGACACAAGAAAAAACGGUUGUCUCAUUAAAAAGCUUACUUGAAAAACUCACUGCAACAAAACGAAAGUGAAAGAAAAAAAGUGCAGCAUAACAGUAACGAAUGGGGGACUACACCAAACCCAUUGAAAAUAAACCAAGCUAAAAGAACAAUCAUUAAAAUCUACAAUAAAGACUGGAUCUAUUUCUAAAAAAAAUAUGCUCUGAUGAUAUCCGGAUUCUUUUUGGAGAAAAGCAUCAACUAUAUACUCCAGAAUAUGUACAUCGUCAAUCUUAUUGGCAAAUUGUAAACCUAUGGAAGGCUGUUUGGCCCUAGAAACUACACAUAUAUUCAGAUUGGAGCAUAUUUCAACAGCUCCCAAAUCUAGGCAUGGCAGAAUUAUACAAGGAAAAACAAAAAUAUGGCCAUUUUUACUGUUGGAGCAUCAGAAUAAAUCUAUUCCCUGCAUCAGAAUGUCUCAUUGCGAUGCUAUGCUACCAAUAGAGCCUAUCCUCAACAGAAUAACAGCCCGGAGGAUUUCCCAUCUUCUGAACAAACAAAGAGAUGACUAAGUGAGAUUCAUAACAUAUUUGAUCUAAAAGAUACGUAACAUAUUUGAUCUAAAAUAUAUUUGAACAAAAGCAUACCGAGCCAUGAAAUUUAUAAGAAAAUUAGGGAAGUUAUUAAACACAUGAAAAUUUUCUCCAAUUAUCAUAUGGUAGCCACUUAUGUUUGAGUUUGUGAAAUAAAAGGAAAGGGGUGUCUGACCUUCAUAUGACACGCAAAGUCACAAUGGCAGAACUGCUGUGCAAAAAUAUUGCAUAAAAAUAUGGAUCAACCGAAACCAAACCCUUCACUAGCCUCAUGGAUGGCAAGUAACAAACGGUCUUGAAGCUGUUCCUUAGAAGUAUACUCAGGAAGAUCUAGUUGAUUGAAGCUGAAGAGCAAUUGCAAGAGAAAGGUAUUAGCAUAGCCGAGAUUCAAUGUGCUGUGCUAACGUAGUUUGUAGUAAGUAACCAAAAGAAUAUGGAAAUAGAAUAACUGACCAAGUAUGAGCUGAUGGAAGUCGAUCAGGAGCUCCAUAUGCUUUGUGAAUCUGAAACCUUUGGGGACCAGAAAUGCCUUGCAAGGCUUUAAAACCCUCCAAAGGAACCUGAAAAAAAAAAGUUAGGAAAGCUACAGUUGUUACCAAUUGCAUUCAAAAAGAUAUUAAAUACUCAACAAGGCUUGUAUUUAACCGAAAACUGACAACCAUAACUCUAGGAUGUGAUCUAGCAAAAAUUAAUGUAACAAGAAAAACACUCAAGUAUAUGAUAUGACAAACCAUUUAAUGCAAAAUAAGUUAAUUAGUAUGACACAAUUCUGAGAAAAUUACCUUGGAUGUUCCUGUCACAAAUUGCAGUAAUCUGGCCAUGUCUUCCUUGUUGAAAGAUUUGACCACCUCCCAAAACCAUUGAACAACAUUUGAUGCAACAGUGUAUCCUGUAUACUCUGUGUUUGCCUUCAAAUCGUUCACUACAAGGAGAAUGACAUUAUUGAGAUGCUUCAUAGAAGAUUAGAACAUAAUUUAACUAAUGAAGAAACCAACUCACAAUCAAUUUCGGGAAGACCACUAAUGAGUAGCUCAAGCUCUUUGUCAUUAAAGAUCGAUAUAAGUUCCCGUGGCACCAUUUCAUUAAAACCUUCUAGAAAGGAAUUGAUUUGAGGACGGAUGGCAUUAGUCAAGAGAUGUUCAGCAACAAGGUCAACGUACUCGUGCUUUGUUUCUUCUGUGACCCUUAUGUUCCUUCCUCCAGGUUUAAGCUCAUAAUCAGUGACCUAUUUCACAAUUUUGGAAGGAUGGAAAAAGCAAUAGUAAGGAUAACUCAAGAAUUUAUCACGAGUAAAUACACUAGAAUCACCUCACCAAAAAAAUUCAAAAUGGUAGCAAUAAAGUUUUAACAAGUUUUUUAUGUAAGGUUUACUUUCACCCAAAACAACGCUCACCUCAUUCUUCUCAUAAAAUAUGAGUUUUUCUUCAUCGGCAUCCAUGCUAAAUGUCAAGUCAGGAAUAUCACUCACAUCAUUCUGGUGCAUAUAUACAAAAAAAAAAUUAGACAGACUAAUGCUUGCAGAAAAUAAGUGCACCAUGAACUCCAAAAAAAUGUGAUGGCAAUUUUCAGCACACCAUGUAAGACAGUAAGAGACACUGAGCUAGUAUAAGCUUUAUACUGCUUAUAGUAUCCAAUGCCAUACAAGUACGAAUAAUGGUUUUGGAUCGCCGUUCAAUACAGUGGUACAUAAAAUCAUCUAACAAAGGGAAUGCCUAACAUUACUAAGGUGAAAAGAGACAAUAAGUGGUCAAGAUUUUAAAUCAGUACUUACCUCCAACAUCCAUUUCAAAUUCUUAUAGUAAUCAGGAUCAACCGCUUCAAUGUCAUGGUAUGUAACCUUAACACCAAGUAUAUGCUUAUAGAAAGAUCGGGUAAAGUAAACAUCCAAUAGUUGUCCAUCAAACAAUGCCUUUCCCACCUGCAUGUAAGAUCAUAAUAACAACUUUCAAAGAACAACUCAACCUGAAAGCGCAUCAUAUAAUAUGACUGUAAGAGGUGGCUUUAAUUAUAUAUCUCAAUCUACCACCAAAUUUUUUUGAAUGAGGAAGGGAGAAGGGAUAUUUAUGAUUGUUGGGUCCGAAUACAAACAACCCAUAUAGUUAAAGAGCAUACCACUCGGCCAACAAACUUGAAGUAUGAGAGGUGCUCAGUCUGGUAAACAGAGUUGGGGUUUGGUUGGAAAGUUGCAUUGUUGCCUACUGUUGUGAAAAGUAAAGCACCUUUGUCAAAUAUGACCCUUGAUAGUAGCUGAUACCACUCUCUGGUCAGACCACCGGCAUCAAUACCCUCUUCACCUUGAAAUUGCACAUUUAAUCGCCCUUUGAGAUCUUGAGUAGGACGCAUCCUUAAUUGAUUAUAUGAGUCCUCCAAAAUGUAAGCCCGCCUUACACUUAUACGAAGUGGCCCAGACAAGUGUUGGUCAUGUUGUUGCCUGAUUCUUGAGCGAAAAUAGGCUCUCUUGUUAUCAAAGUCAAUCAGUCUUGGUGCCUUAAGCAUCAUGGACAGAGAUUUCUCCAACAAACCUGGAUUUUGCCUAAUGAAAGCAUUCGCAAGUCGGCGAUGUUUCUCGGCAAACCUUGUAAAUGUAACAGCACCAUCCAGCUUUCGCUGUGAAUCUCCACAAAAUUUUCCACUCAAUGAAGCUGAACAACCAGCAGACUCCUUGACUUCUCUAGCAGUUGCAUUGUCAUGGUCUUGCUGCAUGAUAGAUUCGUUUGCUUGUAGCUUUUCACACAAAACAAAGAAAGCCUCAAUGAAAGGCAAUAGUCUUUGUGUCCCAGGAGGAAGAGGUGGUGAAGUAGAGGAACCGUGCAAAUUUUCGGCAACAUUUAUGUUUGACAUGUUGGGACAAAAGGAGCUUUGGCCAAGUUGCAUCUCAGCUGCACUUAUACAAUUACUCAGUUCUCGCCACAGUGGCUCGAGCGCAGUAUUCAAAUUCCAAAUAAUUGCUUUGUCACCAUACUGAUCUACAUCACUUUCCAUAUCCAUAUCACCGGAAGUAUCAAGCGAAGUGAGUGAACUUAGAACUUGCAGCACACGUAGAAUGGCAGCACCAGCCAUAGAACCAGCACUCAAGCCAAGCAUAUUUGUUUGCUGCAGGGUUACAAGCUCGCUGACAGCUGAACCUGUCAAUGCAUGAGAUGAUUCCGAAAGCUCUAAAAUAAAGAACUUCCUAUGAGAGGGAACAAUGAAAGCCAACUUCUUCAGCACCUCACCAGCCAGCAUAUACAUUUUAUCCGAAAGCCUAAAAAUGUCAGAUUAGUCACCUCUUUGCAUCACAACUCAAAAGUUACAAAAAUAUUGACCAGGAAAUGGAAAUUAACAGGUGAGACAGUAUUAAGACAAAUUUUAACCCACAUGUUCAUGAUGGCAUACUUAACAAAAACAAAGGAGAAAUAUGACAAGGCUAAGAACAAUACCCUUCACGACCAAGAAGACAGCACAAAUUCCGCAAAUCCGAUUGGGGCAACUGCAGGAAGAUAUUGUACAUAUCUACAUUCUUCUUCCCAUUGGAAUGAGAUGGUUUCAUAUUAGCAUGCUUAUCUUUUUUAUCAGAGUCUAACUCCACUAAAGGAGGAUCCUUCUCAGCUUCAUUAACCGACGAAUUUUGGGUAUCUGCAAUUGCUUUUUCGGAUUGAGAUUGACUUCCUAAUUUUGAUGCAGCAAUAUCAACUACAACUUGAAUCAGACCCAUGACCUGCUCAAGAUGAGCAGUGCUACGUAAAAAUAAGGGCAGAUUCAAGAGCUUCAGAAACAGAACAAGGGGAACAUCUCCUGCAUGAGUUCCAGAAGGUUUUGGUAAAGGUCCCCCUUCAAUAACCUUCUCCUUCCCUUUUCCAUUCAUAUGUGUUAUAGAAGAACUUGAAGAAUCUGGAAUAGAUUGGUCAAAGUGAAACAGCAGUUUUGCAACAGCAGAAUGAUUUGUGGCCAAGUAAGUCAGAAUCUCAAGAAUUCGGCGCAACACUAGAGGAGGAAGACCGGCUAUUAAUAAAUGGAAGGAGAGAUCAGCAUGCAAUAAACUAUAAUAUUGAGAGAAGAAUAUGAAAAUUAUGUUCUGCACUAAGUGGAAAUAUUACCAUCCAACAAUUGAGAUCGGCCAUAUACUGUAUUGGAAUGACAACCAUAAAGCCUCUGGGAAUCUAAUGUCGCGGGUCUGCUUACAGAACCUUCAGCUUCCGGCUUAAUCAUAUCAAGCAAAAGAUAAAUAAGAGUGGCCCUUGUUACACUAUGUGCACAUAAGUUUAACAAGAGUCUUUGCAGAAGGCCUUUUCCAAGGGGCUGAUAUGAUGAUCCAAGAACAGAGCAAGUUAGUAUAAUCAGAAAGAUACCAACAUACACAUUACAAUAAAAUAUAUAUGUACGAUAACACAGUGAAUCUUAUUACAAAAAAAAAAUUCUACAUAGUACUCAUUAGGAAUGUUUUUAACACCUAGCAAGAGAGGCUUGUGGGACUAAGGGUCCUUUUGAUUGGCAAAAGAAUAAGUACCGUACAGUACAAGACAAACUUUAAAUUUACUUGACAACUCUUUGCCAUGUAUAAAGUAAUACAAAUUUUACUACAAUAACCUUUAUGAUAUCUAAAAUGAUUUCAUAUAAUAUAUUGCAAUGUAAUAUAAUAUUAUAGAGAGAGAUAAUUGAGAAUAUUUUAUGAGUAGAAAAUAAAAUUGGCAAAAUCCACCCUAACACUAUCAUCAUGAAGAGAACCAAAAUUACCUGUGCCAAUCGCAGAAGCCGGAUCAAAGCUUUUAAUGCAUUUGCAUCAAGUAGCGGCACACCUUCAAUCUCCUUCACCUUCAAGGCAUCCGUAAGAGUAGACCUCCUGUCUAUAGUAACUCCAACACCCCGAUCCAUUACAGGCCGCCGAACAAAUCCGAGGCCAUUUCUUCGACUGUUAAGCCUGUGACUGCCCCCAAAAAGGUUGCGAGCUUGAUAAUGACUCAUUGCUCGGUCCCUCAAUAUUUGAGCUUCAGCAAGCAAUGGAGACGGCAGUGCUGACAGAACUGCUUCAGAAGAUGUUAAAAGUACCUAGUAUUAGAGCAAAGCACGAGCAUUACAAUCAUGUCACAUUAGAAAUAACUCAGUGUGUUGCAUAAAGGAGAUGCAUUAUCCAUGUCAACUGGCUGUCCUUCAGCCUGCUGGGCAACCCUUUGAGCCCUUUGUUGGGCCAAAACCUCUGCUUGAAUAUCUGGAGGAAGAGCAGCUAAAAACUCAGGAUCAAUAUCUUCUGCAGAAGGUGGUGCAUAAACUGGAGGUUGAACAGAUUGAGCUUGCUGGGACGCCAAAACUUCUGCCCGUAGACCUUCAGGAAGAGCCUCCAAAAAUGUAGGGUCAAUCGUAUUAGAACCAGAAGCUUCAUUAUUUGCACUAGUUUGGUCAGUUUGAGUAUCAUCUGGAGCAGCCUCUGGGUUCUGAGUUGAUAACAGCUCAUCCCUCCUGUCUUCAGAAACAGUUGGUUCCUCUGAUUGAUUUCCAUCAGCAUCAACACCACCCAUAUCAACAUCAAUACUAGCAUUAAUAGAUGAUGCAGGGCAAUCAAUUGGAUUGGGAGUCUCAAAACCAGAUACCAGUAACUCGAGAUUAGUAGCCUGCCGAUCAACAUCUGAUGUUCCAUUGCAACCCAUUGGUACAACUGGCCCAUUGUUGUCAUUAGUAGGUACAUCAACACUAGACUCAAUAGAUGAGAUCACAAAUUCCGAGGGUAUUGCUGCAUUCUCACUGGGAGUAACAUUUAUUUCAUUUUCAGUGCAAUCCACACCAUUUGGUGUGAUGUUCAGUGAGAGUGGUUGAGCUGACAUGGGCCCAUUAGUUUGCAGGCCUUCACCUGUAUCUUGAACACAAGAAUUUACAUUUAUCUCUUCCUCACACGGACCACCAUCAACUGAAAGGUUUCUUUGCUGAGCUAUGAUUUCGGUACCAUUUUCCUGCUCUUGACCUGCAAACUGCUGACAAGUAGAGUUGGCCCCAGCUGUCAAUACUGGAUCAUCGUGUGAUGGAAGAGCAUCAGAUUGCUUCUCUUGUUCUUCAGAAUUAUGUACAUGUCGUUCAGUAGGACUGCUAGCAGGAGCUAUGCUACCCAUCUGAGCUAAAAAUUGUUCCUCCACUACUUGUGCAAUGGCAGCCGCUUGGGCGCCUCCUUGUGGUUGACCAUCAUCAGUCCACCUACCAUUACCUAAAACUCUUCUUCCAGGUAGGUGCAAGGAGCCCAUACCCACAGAAUAAUCUGUCAGAGGUGGUGGUGCUACACUACCCAGACGAUCUCCAAACACACUACUUGGCACAUGAUCAAAUGGAAGAAUAGGUGAAUCAAACAUGUAGAAAUGGGAAACAUCAAGAUUCCCAGAGGACACAGUUUCCGAAUCUCGGGAUACAGAAUUGCCACCUGAUGACCACAUUGAGACAAAAUCACCAGAUUGUGGCGGCCUUACAAAAAGAGGAUGCUGAAAACCAUUAAUCUCAGAAGCCGACCUCUCAAAGGAAGAUCUACCUGACUGGCGGCGACGUUCAAAACUCUGAAGACGAAAAAGGUCAUCCACGUUAACCCCCUCAAAAGGGUCAGCAGCCACAUCUAUAAGGCCACCAGACUUCCCUCCAUCUCACCUCUAUGACGCGAUUCUCAUGAAAAUCAUCAUCGUCUUCACCAAUCAUCCCAUCAUUGUAUUCAUCUCCCAAGCCAACAUCAUCAUGAUCCUCCACAUCAGUAUCAGCCAAAGACAGCAUACCCCCACCAUCUUCUGCUAUAUCCUCAUCUUCCUCUCCAUCAUCAUCAUCUUCAUCAUCAUCACCGUCAUCAACCAUAUCAUCAUCAUCACCCAUGUCAUCAUCUGCCCUAUUCUGAACAUGAAAAGUCAUCUCGAUUUGCUCUGGGUUAUGCAAAACACCACCAUCUACCAUCUCUUCACCCAUGAAGUCCAUUCCUAGUUCCACUGGAGGAUUAUGGGCAAUUGCCUCCCCUUCUUCUACUCUCAUAUCUUGUUCCACUGAUUGAUUUGGAUUAUCAGCUUGAUGAACCCCUUGAGAAGUUCUUUGAUCAUGCGCACUAUUCAUUGUUUCUCUGAGUGCAUCUUGACUGUUAGCAUUCUGAACAUGUGCCACAGUUUCAACUGCAGAAGGUGCUGCUAUUUGAUCAUCAGAUCUUUCAUUCACACCUGUAGAUCUUCUCUUCUCAGUCCCAUCAGAUUUUAUGAUCUGCUCACUAGCAUUAGCAGCUCUUGUAAGACAUUCUAAACCUUUGAGUAUAAGAUUCGCAAAUUUGGGAGCAUCGGGAUGAUCCAAAUCAACCACUUGCAGGAUACUAGUUAGGCAUUUAAUUAUUCCACCAUCGAUCAAACUUUUUGCAAUAUCAGGUGAAUAUCCAGAACCAGGUAGGCUACCAGAUGACGAAUUUUUCGACAAAAUAGAAUAUACAAGAUCAACAAAGGUAAAAAGCCUUUUAUCUGGGGAUAAGCUGCUUUUCAUAGAGUUGCUCUCGAAAUUUGAAAAAGACAUCAAUUCUUUAACAAGUUCAUUUGUCACUCGCUUCCGACCUUCACCAGACCGCCCACACAAAAUUACCAGAAACCAUGAAGCUUUUUCAGACAACUUACCUCUCCAAUCAUCAGGUCCAGCAGAUUUGUCAACAGAAAGUGGUAGCAACCGAUGUAGUACAUGAUGGAUAAUGCCACUAUGUCUAGAUGGUUGAUUAGACGCACGGAAUUGACACAUUUCAGAGUCGCGUCUGAGCAUGACACCAACUGCAUGUCCAUACAUUAGAAGAAUGUCACUCAAUAAUUUAAGGACAAAAGUCACCUUCACCAGUUCUGUAGACCUUUCAGAUUCAGGCUCUAAUAUCACCGUCUCUUCAACCUUCGAUUUUCCCUUCACCUUCAUAGUAGGUUCAUCUAUAUCCAUUAGACAAGUAUCACAGUCAGAAUCUUCCUGGCCUUUCAUUGGUGGGUACUUCAACACAAUCUCAAGAAGCUGAUCAAUUACUUGAGUGAGAUUUACAGGAACCUUUUUUUGGCUUUUCGGACAUUUGCCUGAUCCAUCAUGUGACUUGCUUUCAGAUAUCCGGACACAUUCAUUUGAAGUCUCAGUACUCGAUGUCUUUGAUUUUUCCUUUUCUUUCUCCUUCGAUAACACAACUACCGUCCUUUCGCCUGAUGUCUCUAAUUGACAAAUUGUAGCUGCAGCUUUCAUGAAAAUGGUAGGAUCUCUAGAUAUAACCGGUGCUAACGAUGUCAAAAAUGAUCGGGGAGAAACACGCCCUGAAUGCCGAUUCCCACUUAAAGUUUGCCGUAUCUCCAACUCCAUGGCUAUUUGUAGCGUUUGAGGAUCUUCAAGAAGAUGCCUAACUAUAGCUGAUACAACAGUAUCAUACCCAGGGAAAAAGCAAUUCCGAGGAAGACUAAAAAGAGCAGUCAGACCUCCAUUUUCAAAGAAUUUCAUAGCCAAAGAAUGUGUUUUUGUUAACCGAGCACAUAACUGUAGAACAGCCUGCAUGACCACAGCAGGGACAUGUUGUUUUAUCAAAUCACAUACAAUAUCCAGCAACUUAUGGCUCUCAUCAAUAGUGGCAAAGCCAGUAGAUUUCCCCAAUACAUUCUCAAAACCCAUGUCAGGUUCUUUUUCAUUCCCAUCAAUUUUUUUUUCCUCCUGUGCAACUGAUUCAGGAAAUUGCAGGGAACCAUGCUCCCCGGAUGAAUCAGGCAAGGAACCAGUUUGGGUUCCUCCUUCCAUAAUUUCAGUUUUUGAGCUUGACUGCAGCAUUUGAUCCAAUAUAAGUAGUAAAGCACUAAAGCAUUUAGAGACUGGUAGUUCUUUCCCCAACUCAGGUCUUCUUUUCAAGUUUGUCAAGAUAUCUAUAAUGGUAGAUAUAAUUCCAUUCUGAGCUGCAAUUUCCCUUGUACUUCCAUCCUCAAAAAGAAGUAAUGCUAUAAUAUGUGCUAAGACACCUAAUGCACUGUUAUCCGUGGAAAAGUCCAAUUGGCAAAGUUUUAGCUGUUGCAGAAGAUAAGAUACUACUUUUGGACGAUCUUCACCUUUGUUCUGGUUACAGAGCGUAACGAGCAAAUCCGUCAGCUGAAAUGAAACUGAAUCACUGCUCUGAAACAACUUCACAGAUGUAGCAAGUAUAUCAUCAACUGGAGGUUUCUUCAUGUGUCCCUCUUCAGUUGGCGCAUCAAUAAUCUUCUCGGCACAGUCAACUUUAGUAGNNNNNNNNNNNNNNNNNNNNNNNNNNNNNNNNNNNNNNNNNNNNNNNNNNNNNNNNNNNNNNNNNNNNNNNNNNNNNNNNNNNNNNNNNNNNNNNNNNNNNNNNNNNNNGAGCAAGUGCCCGUGCAAGUUCAUCAUCCUCCUGAACAGGAUCAUCAGCAUGACUGAACAACCACUCCAUAGCCAUUUCAACACUAUUUGUUUCAACUCUUCUCAGAGCUUCUUCAGCCCUUGCCCUUGAAAAACCCAUCUCAACAAUAGUGGCAAUGGUUGCCUCAUCAGGUGGCGGGGCCAUGAAACGUUGGUUUGUGUUUCCCAACAUGUUAUUUCGAUUUCGCUUCACAUCUCCAACACCAGAAUAUACAUGUGUAAUAAGUGAAAUAAUCGAUGCAAUGAAACCAGGACUGCAAUUAUAAAACAUGGGAUGGUUCCAGACUGGUAGGAUUACAUCCAGAACCUGAGAUUGCAGCAUACACACAAAAACUUCUGGGUCCCUUGGAACUGGAAAGAGCCCAAUUGACAGGCCAACAGCAACUGGCUGAAUAAGAAGCUCUGCCUGAGAUGUUGAGGUUGGGGACAAAAGCAGAGAAGAGUUUACAAAGUAUUCAAGCAAGCGACAGUAGCUUUGUAAUGUAUCAAGAAGCCAUGUGUUAUGGGACAGUUUGGCUCCUUCUCCUUUCUUUACAAGAUCGGUAUCUGAUGAUGGGAAAGAGAAUGGAAGAGUCCAUAGCAAUUGACUAGUAGCUUCCUAUGUUGUCAGUAGCUGUACAUAAAAGUUAUUAACCAUGGCAGUAUAACAACUUUUGCGCCUGCUGUCAAAUGUGAGAGCCGCCAUAUCAUCCACGACCUUCCCAAGAUAUCUGCAUUUUACAGAAAGUGAAGUUUCAAGUCCAGCAUAAGUAGGAUGUCCAGAAAAACUAAGGGCCUCAAGAAAAUUCAUAGCUAAAACAGUUCCAAGAGCCUUUGAAGCUGAGCUAAGUGACCCUGAAUCAGCUCGACGGCGAUUUGGCGAAGUGAAUCCCUUCACAAGAGCAAUGAAAAAAGAACGCAUUGUUGAAGCCAGCU